rnacentral:lncRNA from 1 species
UUUUUUUUUUGCUCUUGCUCUCCAUCCACUCACCGGAAUUGAGCAAGUGAUAUACCGAUGGAAAGCUACUGUAAACAUGCAACUUUCCCGUGUUGAUCAUUUUUUCAUACUCGCGACGGUUCAAAAGAAUUUUUUGAAUACAUAAAAACAUGUUUUAAUUGAUAUACACAAAACUUUUAAAGCGUACAUUGGAUUGUAGCAUAUAAUAUACCAUUGGCAGCUUAUGAAUAUGAGCAACUUUUUCAUGUAGACAAUUGUCACAAUAAUAGAUGGUGUGUUGAUGAUGAACUCCGUGCUCUUGUGCUUCAAAUGAUAGUCUCCCCAACACUCAACUCACUCUCAUAGGAUUGGAUUUGGUGGAAAGAUGAUUUGAGUGGAAAGCAACUUGGGGAAGGCUAGAGACCAAGAUUCAUAUGGUUGGAUUGGAAUAUCUUGGUCUCAACACAUGAGUAGAUGGCUCUCUCUCAGAAAAUGGGUAAUGGAAGUGUAGGCACGAUCUGAUGGCUUUCUCACGAAUGAGGAGAGGGUGGAGGGGUAUGUAUAGCCUCCACACAAAAUCUAACUGUUAUACACAUUAUACCAAACUCGGUGGGACCGAAUCAGAAAACUCGGUCGGACCGAUUCAGUACAUAUGUGGCCAUUAGGCAAUUUCAGUGGGACCGACAUGUCAUCUCGGUGGGACCGAUAUCAUUAGGGUUAGGGCAUAACGUAAUCUCGAUCGAACCGAUUACUCAAACUCGGUUGGGCCGACUUCGGUAAUAAGCUAACAGAGAGUUGGUCAGGCAAACUCGGUGGGACCAAUUCGCUCGUCUUGGUGGGACCGAAGCAUUACAAAAAGGAAACAGAGAGUUUGCAUUGCAGACUCGGUGGGACCGAUCGCUCAUCUCGGUUAGACCGAAAUGUUACGACGGGAAACAGAGAGUUUGCAACCCCAUCUCGGUGAGACCGAGAUCCCUAUCGGUGAGAUCGAAAAGACUAGGGUUUCUGGCAGUGGCUAUGUCAAAUGAACUCGGUGGCGCCGGAUGGAUCAAAUCGGUGGGGCCGAGUUUGAAUUUUGGUUUGGGACAUAUGUGGAUAUGAGAAAGUGGUUGAGGGCUUUUCGAGCAUAUCACUAAGCAUUUUGAGCAAGCAAGCCAUUAAGCAACACCUCAUCCCCUUUUAAUAGUAUUGGCUUUCCUAUAGACUCAGUGUGAUCUUGGAUCACUAAAAUAGAAAAUGUAGAGUCUUGGACUUUGAAGCUUGAGCCAAUCUUUUGUCCUUAGAAUUUUGAGGGGUCCACAUUCCUUAUCCAUGCCAUGCCAAUCAAUGAACUUUCCUGAAAUAUUUAUCUUGUAAUGGCAUUAGUUCAAUGACCUAUAUGUUGUUAAUCAUUACCAAAACCACCCAGGGAUAGUUGCACUUUCAGUAAGAGUGCGUAUAAUCCAUGGACUCACAUUAGUCAUAAAGAACUCAUAUACUUAUUGCAAAAGUUUAUUAGCCCUCGAAGCAAAGUACUACUAUGCAUGCUACUAGGGGAAGGGUUGGUAGGAGUUAACCAUCGCGCAAUCCCGACCUCCACUCAUAAGGAAGGCAAUCAAAGAACACCCCAUGCUUCAAAUUUGUCACACAACGUUCACCAUACGUGCAUGCUACGGGACUUGCCAACUUUAACACAAGUAUUUCUCAAUUUCAUAAUUACCCAACUAUCAUGACUCUAACAUUACCACCUUUAUAUCUCAAAACAAUUAUCAAGUAUCAAGUUUAUCAUAGUGUUUAAUGCACUCCAUAUGAAAGUUUUUAUUUUACCCAACUUGGAUGCCCAUCAUAUUAGGACUAAUUUUAUAACCAAAGCCAAUUACCAUGCUUUUAUAAAAGACUCUCAAAAUAAUAUAAGUGAAUCAUGAGAUAUCAAUAAUUUCUACAAAAUAAAACCACUACCGUGCUCUAAAAAGGUAUAAGUGAAGCACUAGAGCAAAAUUAUCUAGCUCAAAAGAUAUAAGUGAAGCACAUAGAGUAUUCUAAUAAAUACCGAUUCAUGUGUGUCUCUCCAAAAGGUGUGUACAGCAAGGAUGAUUGUGAUAAACUAAAAAGCAAAGACUCAAAUCAUACAAGACGCUCCAAGAAAAACACAUAUCAUGUGGUGAAUAAAAAUAUAGCCUCAAGUAAAGUUAUCGAUAGACGAAGAUGAAAGAGGGGAUGCCUUCCGGGGCAUCCCCAAGGUUAGGCUUUUGGUUGUCCUUGAAUAUUACCUUGGGGUGCCUUGGGCAUCCACAAGCUUAGGCUCUUGCCACUCCUUAUUCCAUAGUACAUCGAAUCUUUACCCAAAACUUGAAAACUUCACAACACAAAACUUAACAGAAAACUCGUAAGCUCGGUUAGUAUAAGAAAAUAAAUCUUCACUUUUGGUACUGUUAUGAACUCAUUCUAAAUUCAUAUUGGUGUAAUAUCUACUGUAUUCCAACUUCUCUAUGGUUCAUACCCUCCGAUACUACUCAUAGAUUCAUGAAAAUAAGCAAACAACACAUAGAAAACAGAAUCUGUCAAAAACAGAACAGUCUCUAGUAAUAUGUAUAAUUAGAAUACUUCUGUAACUCCAAAAAUUCUGAAAUAAAUUGGUGGACGUGAUUAAUUUAUCUAUUAAUCAUUUUCAAAAAGAAUCAACCUGAAAUAACUCUCCAGUAAAAAAUGGCAGCUAAACUCGUGAGCGCACAAGUUUCUGUUUUUUUACAGCAAGAUCGCAUAGACUUCACCCAAGUCUUCCCAAAGGUCCUACUUGGCACAAACACUAAAUAAAACAUAAAACCACAUCUAAAAAGAGUCUAUAUGAAUUAUUUAUUACUAAACAUUAGAAAAAAGCAAAGAACAAAAAUAAAAUUGGAUUGCCUCCCAACAACCGCUAAAGUUUAACGCCCAUAGUUAGGCAUGAUGAUUUCAAUGAUGCUCACAUAAAAGAUAAGAAUUGAAACAUAAAAAGAGCAUCAUGAAGAAUAUGACUAGAACAUUUAAGUCUAACCCACUUCCUAUGCAUAGGAAUUUGGGAGCAAACAAUUUAUGGGAACAAGAAUCAACUAGCAUAGGAAAGCAAAACAAGCAUAACUUAAAGAUUUUAAGCACAUAGAGAGGAAACUUGAUAUUAUUGCAAUUCCUAAAAGCAUAUAUUCCUCCCUCAUAAUAAUCUUCAGUGGCAUCAUGAAUGAAUUCAACAAUAUAAACGUUUCAUGAUCUACAAGAUAGAAAAUUUACUACUCUCCACAUAAGCAAAUUUCUUGUCAUGAAUAGUAGUGGGAGCAAACUCAACAAAAUAAUUAUCAUGUGAGGCAUAAUCCAAUUGAAAACUAAAAUCAUGAUGACAAGUUUCAUGGUUAUCAUUAUUCUUAAUAGCAUACAAGUCAUCAAAAUAAUCAUCAUAUAUAGCAACUUUGUUCUCAUAAUCAAUUAGAACCUCUUCAGAAAUAGUGGAUUCAACACUAAAUAAAGUCAUGACCUCUCCAAAUCCACUUUCAUAAUUAUCACAAUAAUAUUCAACAUCCUCCAAAAUAGUGGGAUCAUUACUUCCUAAAGUUGACACUCUUACAAACCCACUUUCAUCAAUAUAAUCACCAUAAAUAGGAGGCAUGCUUUCAUCACAAUAAAUAUUCUCAUCAAAACUUGGGGGACUAAACAUAUCAUCUUCAACAAACAUAGCAUCCCCAAGCUUGUGGCUUUGCAUAUCAUUAUCAUCAUGGGUAUUCAAAGAAUUCAUACUAACAACAUUGCAAUCAUGCUCAUCAUUCACAUAUUUUACGCCAAGCAUUCUAUGUAAUUCUUCUUCUAGUACUUGAGCACAAUUUUCCUUUCCAUCAUUUUCACGAAAGACAUUAAAAAGAUAAAGCAUAUGAGGCAACCUUAAUUCCAUUUUUUUGUAGUUUUAUUUUAUAAACUAAACUAGUGAUAAAACAAGAAACUAAAAGAUUUGAUUGCAAGAUCUAAAGAUAUACCUUCAAGCACUCACCUCCCCGGCAACGGCGCCAGAAAAGAGCUUGAUGUCUACUACACAACCUUCUUCUUGUAGACAUUGUUGGGCCUCCAAGUGCAGAGGUUUGUAGGACAAUAGAAAAUUUCCCUCAAGUGGAUGACCUAAGGUUUAUCAAUCCGUGGGAGGCGUAGGAUGAAGAUGGUCUCUCUCAAACAACCCUGCAACCAAAUAACAAAGAGUCUCUUGUGUCCCCAACACACCCAAUGCAAUGGUAAAUUGUAUAGGUGCACUAGUUCAGCGAAGAGAUGGUGAUACAAGUGCAAUAUGGAUGAUAGAUAUAGAUUUUUGUAAUCUGAAAAUAUAACAACAGCAAGGUAACAAGUGGUAAAAGUGAGCAUAAACGGUAUUUCAAUGCUAGGAAACAAGGCCUAGGGUUCAUACUUUCACCAGUGCAAGUUCUCUCAACAAUAAUAACAUAACUGGAUCAUAUAACUAUCCCUCAACAUGCAACAAAGAGCCAAUCCAAAGUCACUAAUAGCGGAGAACAAAUGAAGAGAUUAUUGCAGGGUAAGAAACCACCUCAAAGUUAUCCUUGCUGAUCGAUCUAUUCAAGAGUUCGUACUAGAAUAACACCUUAAGACACAAAUCAACCAAAACCCUAAUGUCACCUAGAUACUCCAAUGUCACCUCAAGUAUCCAUGGGCAUGAUUAUACGAUAUGCAUCACACAAUCUCAGAUUUAUCUAUUCAACCAACACAAAGUACUUCAAAGAGUGCCCCAAAGUUUCUACCGGAGAGUCAAGAUGAAAACAUGUGCCAACCCCUAUGCAUAAGUUCACAAGGUCACUGAACCCGCAAGUUGAUCACCAAAACAUACAUCAAGUAGAUCACGUGAAUAUCCCAUUGUCACCACAGAUAAGCACAUGCAAUACAUACAUCAAGUGUUCUCAAAUCCUUAAAGACUCAAUCCGAUAAGAUAACUUUAAAGGGAAAACUCAAUCUAUUACAAGAGAGUUGAGGGGGAGAAACAUCAUAAGAUCCAACUAUGAUAGCAAAGUUCGCGAUACAUCAAGAUCGUGCCAAAUCAAGAACAUGAGAGAGAGAGAGAGAGAUCAAACACAUAACUACUGGUACAUACCCUUAGCCCCGAGGGUGAACUACUCCCUCCUCAUCAUGGAGAGUGUCGGGAUGAUGAAGAUGGCCACCGAUGAGGGAUUUCCCUUCGGCAGGGUGCCGGAACAGGGUCCCGAUUUGUUUUUGGUGGCUACAGCAGCUUGCGGCGGCGGAACUCCCGAUCUAGGUUAUUUUCUAGAGGUUUUAGUAUUUAUAGGAAUUUUUGGCAUCGGGAACAAGUCAGGGAGGUCUCCGGGCAGUCCACGAGACAAGGAGGUUGUUCUACCUUCCCCGACAUUGUCUUUCUUCCUUCUCUCAUGGUUCAGCUGUAGUGUAGCCCUGCUGCCCGGAGCUCCAUUGCCUUGAAGGUUCAACUUGAGUGUAGCUCUGUUGCCUUGAAGACUUGGCAGAGGUGUUGUGUAGCCCUGCUGCCCAGAUCUCAAGUCCCUUGAUGGUUCAGUCGAAGUGUACCUCUGCUGCACGGAACUCUAGUCCCUUGAUGAUUCAACCGAGGUGUAACUCUGCUACCCUACCCAGAACUCCAGUCCGUUGAUGGUUUAGCACUCUGGCUGCUGAUGGAUGGCCACUGUAGUAGGAUCAUACGCCAAUCCACAUGGCUGGGUACGCUGGUCUACCGAAGUUCUAUUAAAUAGGUUGCAAUUCUGCAAUUUUAAUCAAGGUUGAAUUGCGUUGGCCCUGUUCAUAUAACUGAAUGAGAGAAGUUGCUCUAUAACUGAAGUAUUAUUUCAGAGUUCAGAAAGACGGAUGUUCGGCUGUUAUGUUAAGAUAACUAAUCAUGAUGGCCUCGAUGUUGUAAAAAAUAUUCAGCCGUUCAAUGACGGCUUCCACGGGAGUUCAAAAUCAAGAGGUUAUGAAGUAACUAUUAAAAAAGAUUAGUAUAUUGGUGCAUGCGUGUGUGUUGGAUGUGAUGACUCGUGUGUGUUCGCUCACUAUGUGGGUGCUUGUGUGUUGGUGUGUACGCGGCUGCGCACUCUGUGUGUGCGUGCUCUACUGUGUACUCCCGUUUGUGUGGGUGCAUUUAUGAAAGCAUUUUGAUGCUAGGGAAAUAGAAAGAGUACUAUAAAAUAACUUAUGUUCACAAAUGUGUUGUUUGCUUAUGUCAAAAAACCUUUUAGACAUUUGCAGUUUGCCAGAAAAAACGAAUACAAAGUAAGCUUUGAAAAACACUAAAAAAACGUUCGCCAUAAAAAUCAGUGGUGUUCAUGAUACAAAAUGUUUUUAAUUUUGUGUAACAUAACAUAUCGAAGUUCAUGGGAAAAAUAAAUACAAAAAAGAAGCCACCAUGAGGAAAAAACCACCAAGAUAUCAUUCAUAAAAACACAUGAAAUUCUACCUGGAAAAAUCAUUUCUUGUUAUCCCCAUUCUUAAAAUACAAAUGCAGAAUUUCAUAGUAAAAUAAUUGAGCAGUCUGACUUUCAGAAAAAAUGAAAGCCACUUUAUCUAUUACCCAUGCUAAAACGAGCUCGCUUGCAUAAAUAAAAAUAGAAAUUGGCGGUUAAUUCUUGAGCUCAUAUUUUGUGAAUGGAUGAGGAAGACAAAAACUUUUUUGUUGAGGGAAAACAACUUAUUCUGACUUAAUUCAUGAGCUAGGACGUGCGAAUAUCUCAUGUUCUGUUUGGCAUCCUAUAAAAAAUCUACUACAUUCUAUACAUAGUUUCUUGAUGCAAUGACAAUUAAUGUUUUUUUAAAGUUCACAUAUAAUAUCUAGAUGGAUUGCCCACGAGAACAUUUAGCGUUAUGUGGAGGACAUGCAUGCAGCUGCAUCCCCUUAAUGCUUUGACCAAAAAUGUUGGAUAGCCUUAAGGCCCAUAUAGCGUGUCUAAGAAAUCACAUUGCAAAUCUACUGCGUCUAUCAAAUUCACAAACGUACAAUGAAGUUGUACUACAAAUGUACGCUAGGUAUUACGGCUACGCGUCGGCCGCGAUGAAGUUCUACGAACAUAUACACUAGCGCGGGGAAGUUCUACUAUGACUGUAUGCUAAGUUCAACUAAAGCUAUAUGCUAAAAAACAUCAUUAGAGGAGUCCCGCGGAGCAAAAAUAGAAGUAAAAUUAGAAGUAGAGUUGGGAAAAUUCAUGUGUUUUUAUAAAUGUUUCAAAUUAAAAUAACAAAAAAUAGCUCGAUGUUUAUAAAGACAAAUCGUUUUCCCCCAUUAUUAAAUAAUGAAACAAUGAAGUUCAAUCUGAAAAUAAUAGAGCAAUUUUAAAGUCUAAAAAAUGGAGUUUCUCUUUUUUAAGAAAACAAAGCCUCACCUAGAAAAUGUUAACUCCAGGAGUUUAAAAAAAGAAAGAAGAAGUUCAAUUUUUAAAUUGACGUUCAUAAAACGUGGAUAUUCCCUGUUCGAUGUUUAAACAAAAUAAAAGAAAUCACUUUUCUAAAUAAAUAAAAACCUAAAAAUUCAAAUUAGAACAAUAGGGCAUUUCAUUUUGGCCAUUAAACCAAGAAGUACUAACUAAACUAACAAAGUAGUUCGGCCUGAAUAAAAAAUUUAGUUUUUUUUAGAAAUAUAACCAAGAAGUUCAAAUUAAAUAAUAGAGCACCAUGAUAUUUGUAUAGAAGAACGAAACAAGGUUCACCUAGAAUUAUAUUAACUCCCGAAGUUCAUAUUUAAUAAAUCUGAAAGUUGCACAAAAAUGAGAAAACAAAAAAGAGACACAUAUUUUUGUACAAAAAAAUCUCAUGGAUUUCUCGUUUUUGAAAAAUAGAUUUUACUCAUUUGUAAAAUAACCUAGAAGUGCAAAUUAAAAAAUUAAUAAUUUCAAAAAUUAUAGAAAAAAUAUGGAUUUCACCAUUUCUAGAAACACCUAGAGGUUUAGAUUUAAAAUACGAAGAAGUCCAAUCUUUAUUACAAACCCCAACAAGGUCAAAUUGAAAAAAACUAAGCAUCUCGACACAAAUUUAUAUAAAAAGCGAUUUUGUUCGUUAAAAAAACCUAGAAGUUCAAGUCGAAUAAUGAAGCAGUUCGAUGGUCAUACAAAAUUCAGAUUUUCCUUAUUAUUAAAUAAUGAAAACAAGAAGUUCACAGAUAAAAAAACUAGAAGUUCAAAUUUUAAAAUAGAGUAGUACAAAAUUCAUACGAAAGGAUUUUCGCCAUUUCUAAAGAAGAAACUCUAGAAGUUCAAAUUUAAAUAACGGACCUGUUCAAUAUUUAUUACAAAACUAGGAUUUUUCUGUUACUAAAAGAAAUAAACUAAGAAGUCGAGAUUACAAGAAUAGGGUAAGUCAUUAUUUAAAAAAACUAAGAUUUUCAAUGAUUGUUUUAGGAGUUAUGGGGAGAGAAGUUCAAAGUGAAAACAACCAGCGGUUCAACUACUACAUGAAGUGUGUUUGAUAUAAGAAAAGGAAUAAAAUGGCGAAGUCCAAAAAGGACCUUGCUAGAAGUUCAUGUGGUCGCCCCAGGAAAGUUCAAAAAUUCUUGUAAAGUAGGUUCGCCGUGUAUUUACUUGUGCAAAAACACACAAAAAAUGUUGGGCAACUCCGAUGAACAGGUGAGGAAUUGGGAACAAAAAUACGGGACAGAAGUCCAAAGUGAAAACAACGAGUAGUUCAACUACUACACGGAAUGUGUUUUAGGUGACAACAAAAAGAAUACAAAACUAAAAGACUAAAAGGUUUGUUGCAAGAAGUUCACAUGCUCCUCCCACCAUGGUUCAAAACUUAUAUUGUGAGACAUCCGACCUUCCAUUACAUGUCAAAAAGGCAAAAAUGACAUCAUUUUUGAUAUUUUUGAAACUGUUGUCAAACGGCACCGAGAGUGGUGUCUCCUAGAUUGGUUAGGUGUCAAUUGGGAGCCUCCGACAAGAUUGUGGUGUGAACCAAGGAGUUUGUAAGGGCAAGGAGAUCGCCUACUUCGUGAAGAUCUACCCUAGUGAGGCAAGUCCUUCGUGGGCGAUGGCCAUGGUGGGAUAGACAAGGUUGCUUCUUCGUGGACCCUUCAUGGGUGGAGCCCUCCGUGGACUCGCGCAGCCGUUACCCUUUGUGGGUUGAAGUCUCCAUCAACGUGUAUGUACUAUAGCACCACCUAUCAGAACCACGACAAAAACAUCUGUGUCUCCUAUUGUGUUUGCACACUCCAAAACCUUCCCUUUACAUUCUUGCAAGUUGCAUGCUUUACUUUUCGCUGCUCAUAUACACUUUGCAUGCUUACUUGAAUUGCGUUAAGAUUGCUUGACUUGUGCUAAGUUGUUAAAAUCUGCCAAGAACUAAAAUUGGGAAAAGGUUAAGAUUUUAUUUGGUCAAGUAGUCUAAUCACCCCCCCCCCUCUAGACAUACUUUCGAUCCUACAAUUGGCAUCAGAGCUUUGGUCUCCAUUUGCCUUUAUUUCCAUAGCUUUUGGUGAUCAUAGUCUUGGUUUCACAACCUAGGAAAAUAUGGCGUCUAGCGAGGGAAAUUACCACCGUAGAGGUCCUUACUUUGAUGGUACAAAUUUUGCUAGUUGGAAGCAUAAGAUGAAAAUGCAUAUUCUUGGACAUAACCCCGCCGUUUGGACUAUUGUGUGUAUUGGCUUGCAAGGUGAGUUCUUCGAUGGGAGAGAACUAAACCGUGAAGCUACCGCAGAAGAGUUGAAGAUGCUGCAAUACAACGCUCAAGCUUGUGAUAUCCUCUUCAACGGAUUGUGCCCCAAAGAAUUCAACAAAAUCAGCCACCUUGAGAAUGCAAAGGAAUUUUGGGAUACUUUGAUUGACAUGCAUGAAGGUACGGACUCCAUCAAGGGAUCCAAAUUGGAUGUGCUUCAAAGUCAACUUGACAAGUUCAAAAUGAAGGAUGGUGAAGGUGUCGCUGAAAUGUACUCUAGGCUUGCUCUCAUUACAAAUGAUAUUGCCGGCUUAGGAAGUGAAGAGAUGACCAACAAAUUCAUCAUCAAGAAGAUCCUAAGAGCCUUGGAUGGAAAAUAUGAUACCGUCUGCACAUUGAUCCAAAUGAUGCUCAAUUACAAAGAUCUCAAGCCAAUGGAAGUCAUUGGAAGAAUUGUUGCUCAUGAGAUGUCACUCAAGGAUAAGGAAGAGCUUCACAACAAGUCAAGUGGUGCUUGCAAAGCCUCAUGUGAUGCUCCUACAUCAUCAAGUGAGAAACAAACCUUCAAUGACGAAUUGAGCUUAAUGGUGAAAAACUUCAACAAGUUCUACAAGAGUAGAAGGAAGGAAAGGAGUUCCAAGUCAAGGCCCUACAAUGGCAAAAGAUCUUCGAGUCGUGAACGUAAUUGCUACAAUUGUGGAAGACCCGGACACUAUUCCAAUGAGUGGAUGACUCCUUACAAAAGGAGAGAAGAUUCACCCAAAAUAAGAAGUAGAAGAUAAGAAUCACCACCAAGAGAGAGGAGGAGUAGAUAUGAUCAUCAUGAACGAAGAACCUCCCGGAGAAGCAAGGAUUCGGAAAGGAAGGACAAAUCAUCAAAGAGCUACACAAAGCAAAGACAUCAAGCUCAUGUUGGUGAAUGGGUAUCCGGCUCCGACUCCGACCAUCACUCCAAGAGAAGCUAUCACUCUGACUCCCAAUAUACUCAAGAUGAAGGUGUUGCCGGUCUAGCACUUGUGUCAACCAACUCCUACGACAUAUUUGACUCACCAAAUGAAGGAAUUGGAAGAUGCUUCAUGGCUAAAGGCCCAAAGGUAUCACACCCCGAGUAUGUUGAUUUCAAUAGUGAUGAAGAUGACUUGUUAGGUGAUGAUGAUUUACUUGUUGACAACUCUAGUGAUGAAUACUAUGAUGAAACGUCAAUAAAUCAUGCUAAUCAAGAUAAAAUGAAUGACAAUGAUAAGGAGAAGAUUGAGCGCCUAACUAAAGAACUAAGCACUCUUAAGUUAGCUCAUUAAACUACCUUGGAAGAUCAUCGAGAACUUUUAAAGACUCAUGAGAAGUUACGCUUUGAAAAGCUCAACCUUGAGCAAGAGCAUGAGUUUUUAAAGGCAAUCAAUGAUCAUCUUCGCAAGAAAAGUUCUUCUUACAUUGCCAAGAAUUUACUCUUAUCUACUUACAUGCCACAAGUCAAGUCUAGUAACAAGAGUAAGAAAGAUUCCUUCUAGUAGUAACAAUAAUCAUGCUAAAUCCAAUGUUGUUGCUUCUAGUAGUUCUCUUGAUUCCACUAAUGAUUCUCUUAGCCAAGUUACACUUGAGCAAGAAAAUAGCUUAUUGAAAGGAAUUAUAGAGAAGGGUGUCUACAAGAGCCUUGCCGAGAGUAAGCAAUUUGAGGAAAUUGUACGCAAGAAAGGAAGGCACCGGAAGAAUCAAGGUGUUGGUUUUGAACGAAAGUUCAAUGCCAAUGGAGUUGAGUGGGAAGAAGAUCAAUACCCCAAGACGAAGUUUGUUCCCCAACAAGAGAAGUAUGAUCCUACUUCUUUCCAAGGGACACAAGCUCAAGAUGAUCUUCCACCACAAGACCACAAGCAAAAAGGCAAGGACAAGCUUCAAGAGGAGAUCGAUGCAUUUGAAGAAGCUCCCAAGGCCUUGGUCAAGUGGGUUCCCAAGACUACAUCAAGCUCUACUUCAUCAAGUUCUGCUACUACCCCAAGGAUUCCCAUCAAGAUGAUGUGGAUACCAAAGAAAAAGGACUAGAGAGUUCUUGAGGGUGACUCCGCCAAUAUAAUUCUCUCAUAUCAUUUUGGCAAGGCCAAGUGCAAUCAACUUCCACAUCUUGCACUUGUUCAAGGAGUCCCAUAUCCUCUUGUUAGUAAGACAAGGGACAAGGUAAUCUAAUGCUUUCAUGGACAUCGUCUUGUCUGUGCAUCACUCUAUGUCUAUGGAUAUCCUUGCUUGUUCCUUGAGGGACUUACCCGUGUAGGUACUGAAAGUGCAACUCACCCCAAUGGGUUGCUCCAAAUGAUCAACAACAUUGAGCAUCCACAUCUUCAACACCUACAUGAAGUCAUCAUCGACAAAACCCAAGGUUAGUUCAUCCCUCUUAGGGGGGAUCUCACAUCUUGGGGGAGCUUUACUCUAAAGAAUUGAGCUAAAGCAACUCAAAUGGUGUUAACACAACAAUGCUUUAUGGAAAAGUGGUAGCCCCACUUGUGCUUAAACGAUGAGUAUGACCUAUGAUCAAAUGUUCUCAUUUGACUCCUAAGUCAAUAUACUCAUAUAUAGAUGACCUAGCCAUCGCCAAUUGUUUGAUAGAUGCUAGAAUUGAUUGUGCAUGCUUUGCCACAUAUUUCAUUUGCCAUUUUAUUGUAUGAGCAUGUUGGUUGCAUAUUUUACUCAUUCGAGGACAUUCACUUGUUGUUUUGAUUGUUUGGAUCCUUUUCUUUUGCCAAGUGGAUGGACAAGAAUGCCUAAGAACCUUCUCUAGCUAUCUAUGCUUUUCACGUCUCAAACUCUAUUCAUGCUACAUCACAAAGUUUGAUCAAGUCAGCUUCGAACCACUCUGUGUGAGGAGCACUCAGAGUCCCCGAUUCAUCACAGACUUAAACUUCCAAAACCUCUUUGUGCAUUUCGGUCUGACCAAGAAAUCCAUUUCGGUCAAACCGAGUUCACUAAGUUGAUCUAGGUUUUCAUCUUGGUGCAACCGAUUUGAACACUUCGGUCACACCGAGUUGUAGCAAGCACUCGCGAUUCUGCAAUCUCGGUGCCACCGAGUUGUUCCACUCGGUCACACCGACAGGGUCGGGACAUAAAUACCCAUGGGUGAGAUUUUGAAAAUUACUUCAAAUCUUCUCAGCCCGUGCGUGUCCUGCUCUACCUCCUCGGGUCUCUGGAUCAUCUUUUCGCUGCCAACGACCUCCCGCUGUUGGACUCUGCCACCGUCGACGGAUUUUGCUCCGCCGUCGCUUCCAUAGUGAACACUCACCUUUCUAGGGUACGUGUUCGACCCCUUGUGCUUUCUUUUUCACUCCGAUUCCUAGCACAAGGACUAUGCCAUGCUUCUUGCCACGAAUGAGAUCAAUCUAUCUAGCUAAAUCUUCCUUAGGUCUAGAUUGAUUCGAAAAUUUUAGGGUUAGCCCUCCACAGAACUCAUCUCGGACCGACCGAAAUGUAGAAAUCGGUCUCACUGAUUUGGCUUAGGCCAUUGCACAUGCACUUUUCGAUCUGACCGAAAUGUGCAAAUUGGUGUGACCGAGUUCAGGAUUCUGUGAAACCCUAGCAACCUCGGUGCCACCGAACUGUGACUCGGUCUAACUGAGUUCACUAGUUUAGCUUCCAAGUGUUGAUUCGGUAUCACCGAGUUUUUCAAUUCGGUAGCUCCGAGAUCUCUUCUGUAGAGAACUAAAAGUAAGUUUUUUGACUCGAUUUGUUUUGCAAAACCUCUGUACUUUGUGAUGCUCAUCUACAACCUAUUCACAGGGUCUGCUGACAGUUUGCCUGCAAGAUGUCUGACCAGAGUGACAGCCAGAACAGGUCUGAAUAACAAGGACAGUUGAGUGAGGGCACUAGUCCCUCCAGCAGCUAUGAUGAGGGCAGCAGGAGCACACCUAGUAACUUGCCCAAGGCAGCUACUAGAACAACAAAGAAGAGAACUUUUGAUUCAGAGGAUGAAGACUAUGUUGCAGCUGAGGAUGAGGCCACUUCCAAGAAGAAGGUGGUGAAGAAAGAGUUUGGCACUGCUGCAUCAACAAAGCCAGGCAUGAACAGAAAGGCACCAGCUAGGAGAGUGCCUACAUCCAAGCCAAGGAAAGUUGCCACGGGUGAAACUAUGAAGUUCACCAUUGAAUCUGAAGAAGAGGCAUCUAGUGAGGAAAGGAAGAAGAAGAGGUCAAGAACUACAACAGCUAAAGUUCUUGGAAAGUCCAAAAUGGUGAGAUCUGAUGAUGAAGAGGAAGAGGAUGCUGCUCCAGCACCUAAGGCACAGAAGCUCAUGGGAGAUGCUAUAAGCUGUUGCUCCAGUUCCCAAGACUGCACCCAAGAGGAGUACCAGGAACAUACCUGCUGAGGAGAAGAACAAGGCCCUAGUGCCUAAGAUUGAAGAAGAGGAAGCUGAAGCCCAAGUGCUAAGGAAGCUAAAGCUAAAGAUCCCAGACCAUAAUGAUGCACAUCCUGUUGCAGAAGACAUGAGGAUCAGGAAGGAUGCAGGACUGAGACAGUGGAGAAAGGCUGACCCAUAUACUGUCAGGAGGAGAACUGUUGUGGAUUACAGGUUCCACACAAAGGAACAACAAGAUUUCUAUGAGACAAUCCUGCUUGACAAGAAGCCCAUAGUGUGUGACAUGAGAUGGGUUGACUGGACCUACAUUAGAGAGAAUGAAGACCACUUCCCAGGUGUUUAUGACAGCUUCAAGGCCUGUGAAGUUGACAAGUUUGUUGGCCAGAAGCUCACAAAGUGGAAUGAUGAGCUAAUCAUGAAAUUCUAAUCUACUGCUCAUUUCUAUCCAGAUGGCAGAAUUGUUUGGAUGUUAGAGGGUACAAGGUACCAGUCUACAGUUGAUGAGUGGGCUGGAUUGAUCAAUGCCCCAGAAGCUCAUGAAGAUGACUUGGAUGUCUAUGCCAAGAAGAAGAAGGAUCACAACUCAAUGGCUAGCAUGUACAAGGAGAUUCCUGAUGCAGACCUGGAGACUCACAAGUUUGGCUCGGUGAAGCACUUACUGUCAGGCCUGCCUACUAUCAAUACCAUUCUGAGGCACACUCUGUUGCCAAAAUCUGGAGAUCAUAGAAUGAUCAGAGGACACUCCAUCAACUUGCUGCAUAUAUUUGAUGUCCCUCAAAAGUUCAAAGUGAUGAGUUUGAUUGUGGAAACAAUCAAAAGGACAGCUGCAGAUCAGAAGAGAUCUUGUGGGUAUGCUCCACAAAUUCAGGUGCUCAUCAACUCUAAGAUGGGCACAGGCACAUAUCUGUUGGACAAGGAGCAUUUACCCCUCAGGCCAGACUUUGAGGACAACAUUGUUGUCAUGACUGAGGAAGAUCCAUCCUCAGUGCAAGCACAUGAGAAGAGAGAGAAGGCAAGGGCAGAGAAAGCUGCAAAUAUGCCAACAACUGAAGAGGCAUCUCAAGUGUUCUUGAAGAGCAAGCAAGAUCAGCUGGAUAUCUGAUCCAAUCCACCUUGAGGAUUGAGAAGGGCUUGGCCACCCUGACUCAAAACCAGGAGAGCUUGGAGAGGAUCAUUGAGCAGAAAUCUAUGAUCUUGAUGUCAAGGUAACUGAGAUUCAGUCAGUGGUUGAGAAACUUCAGGAGGAAGUGGAGGAGAAGAAGGGCAAGUCUACUACAUAUGCUUUUACUAGAGUACCCAGAAGUCAGAGGUCUGCUGUAGUGCCUGUCCCAGACACAAGAGCUACUACAUCAGCACCAGCAGCCACAGCUUCAGUGCCACCAGCUCCAGCAGCCACUCCACCAGCUCCAACCACAUCUACAGACGCUUUCGUCCUUGGAGUCAUCUCUACACCACCUCAUGAAGACCAAGCCUGAGAGACGCAUAGCACUAUGCAUAUUUUUAACUUUUUGGUACUUGUUGCCAAAGGGGGAGAAAUAUGUAUAUAUCAUAGUCUUCGAGAGAGAGAGAGAGAGAGAGUGUGUGUGUUGUUUUGUCUCUCUUUGCAUUUUACUUACUUGAACUUUAUUGUGUGUUUGCUUGUUACAUUAUGUAUUUUGUGAGAUACUUGGAUGAUCAUGUGUUUGAUCAUAUGCUACUUUAAUGUGUGCUUGAAUGACAUUAUCCUUCAUAUCCAUUUAUGAUCAUUCACUUUGCUUGGUGAUGAGUGCAUGUCUUCAAUUAUUAUCAUUUUGAGUGCUCCAGCAAGAUGUAUGUGACAUGGAAGAGUGACCCAUGAUUCUAACACAUUGUGCAUUUGCAGUCCAAAGCAAAUUUUAAAUAAUGCACAAAUUUAGGGGGAGCUCUUGUUUGUCACAUACUUCUCAAAGCGACAAUGUAUUUCAAUCUUAUUAUCAUUUGUCGAAGCUUUGAUUUAUAUGUUGUCAUCAAUUACCAAAAAGGGGGAGAUUGAAAGUGCAACUAUCCCUGGGUGGUUUUGGUAAUGAUUAACAACAUAUAGCUCAUUAAACUAAUGCCAUUACAAGAUAAAUAUUUCAGGAAAGUUCAUUGAUUGGCAUGGCAUGGAUAAGGAAUGUGGACCCCUCAAAAUGCUAAGAACAAAAGAUUGGCUCAAGCUUCAAAGUCCAAGACUCUACAUUUUCUAUUUUAGUGAUCCAAGAUCACAUUGAGUCUAUAGGAAAGCCAAUACUAUUAAAAGGGGAUGAGGUGUUGCUUAAUGGCUUGCUUGCUCAAAAUGCUUAGUGAUAUGCUCCAAAAUCCCUCAACCACUUUCUCAUAUCCACCUAUGUCCCAGACCAAAAGUCAAACUCGGCCCCACCGAUUUGAUCCAUUUGGCGCCACCGAGUUCAUUUGACAUAGCCACUGCCAGAAACCCUAGUAUUUUCGAUCUCACCGAUACGGAUCUCGGUCUCACCGAGAUGGGGUUGCAAACUCUCUGUUUCCCGUCGUAACAUUUCGGUCUAACCGAGAUGAGCGAUCGGUCCCACCAAGUCUGCAAUGCAAACUCUCUGUUUCCUUUUCAUAACGCUUUGGUACCACCGAGACGAGCGAAUAGGUCCCACCGAGUUGCCUGAACAACUCUCUGUUAGCUUAUUACCAAAGUCGGUCCAACCGAGUUUGAGUAAUCGGUUCAACCGAGAUUACGUUAUGCCCUAAUGCUAAUGAUAUCGGUCCCACCGAGAUGACAUGUCGGUCCCACCGAAAUUGCCUAACGGUCACAUAUGUACUGAAUCGGUCCGACCAAGUUUUCUGAUUCGGUCCCACCGAGUUUGGUAUAAUGUGUGUAGCGGUUAGAUUUUGUCUGGAGGCUAUAUAUACCCCUCCACCCUCUCCUCAUUCAUGAGAAAGCCAUCAGAUCGUGCCUACACUUUCAUUACCCAUUUUCUAAGAGAGAGCCACCUACUCAUGUGUUGAGACCAACAUAUUCUAAUCCAACCAUAUGAAUCUUGAUCUCUAGCCUUCCCCAAGUUGAUUUCCACUCAAAUCAUCUUUCCACCAAAUCUAAUCCUAUGAGAGUGAGUUGAGUGUUGGGUAGACUAUCAUUUGAAGCACAAGAGCAAGGAGUUCAUCAUCAACACACCAUCUAUUACCUUUUGGAGAGUGGUGUCUCCUAGAUUGGUUAGGUGUCACUUGGGAGCCUCCGACAAGAUUAUGGAGUGAACCAAGGAGUUUAUAAGGGCAAGGAGAUCGCCUACUUCAUGAAGAUCUACCCUAGUGAGGCAAGUCCUUCAUGGGCGAUGGCCAUGGUGGGAUAUACAAGGUUGCUUCUUCGUGGACCCUUCGUGGGUGGAGCCCUCUGUGGACUCGCGCAGCCGUUACCCUUCGUGGGUUGAAGUCUCCAUCAACGUGGAUGUACAAUAGCACCACCUAUCGGAACCAUGACAAAAAACAUAUGUGUCUCCUAUUGCGUUUGCACUCUCCAAACCCUUCCCUUUACAUUCUUGCAAGUUGCAUGCUUUACUUUCCGCUGCUCAUAUACUCUUUGCAUGCUUGCUUGAAUUAUGUUAAGAUUGCUUCACUUGUGCUAAGUUGUUAAAAUCUGCCAAGAACUAAAAUUGGGAAAAGGUUAAGAUUUUAUUUGGUCAAGUAGUCUAAUCCCCCCCCCUAGACAUAUUUUCGAUCCUACACUUACCCUUCCGCAAUUUGCUAGCCUCUACGGUACCGUGUAUUGCCCUUUCUCACCUUGAGAGUUGGUGCAAACUUCUCCGGUGCAUCCAAACCCCGUGAUACGAUACGCUCUAUCACACAUAAACCUCCUUAUAUCUUCCUCAAAACAGCCACCAUACCUACCUAUUAUGGCAUUUCCAUAUCCAUUCCGAGAUAUAUUGCCAUGCAACUUUCCACCAUUCCGUUUAUUAUGAGACGCUUCAUCAUUGUCAUAUUGCCUUGAAUGAUCAUGUAGUUGACAUCGUAUUUGCGGCAAAGCCACCAUUCAUAAUUCUUUCAUACAUGUCACUCUUGAUUCAUUAUCCCGGUACAUGAUACGUCUCCAACGUAUCUAUAAUUUUUGAUUGCUCCAUUCUACUUUAUCUACUGUUUUGGACUACGUUGGGCUUUAUUUUCCAAUUUUAUAUUAUUUUUGGGACUAACCUAUUAACCGGAGGCCCAGCCCAGAAUUGCUGUUUUUUGCCUAUUUCAGUGUUUCAAAGAAACGGAAUAUCAAACGGAGUCCAAACGGAAUGAAACCUUCAGGAACGUGAUUUUCUCACCGAACAUGAUCCAGGAGACUUGGACCCUACUCCAAGAAGUAACAGAGGCGGUCACGAGGGUGAGGGGCGCCCCCCCCCCAGGGCGCGCCCCCUGCCUCGUGGCUCCCUGUUGCUCCACCGACGUACUCCUUCCUCCUAUAUAUACCUACGUACCCCCAAACGAUCAGAACAGGAGCCAAAAACCUAAUUCCACCGCCGCAACCUUCUGUAUCCACGAGAUCCCAUCUUGGGGCCUGUUCCGGAGCUCCGCUGGAGGGGCAUCCACCAUGGAGGGCUUCUACAUCAACACCAUAUCCCCUCCGAUGAAGUGUGAGUAGUUUACUUCAGACCUUCGGGUCCAUAGCUAGUAGCUAGAUGGUUUCUUCUCUCUUUUUGGAUCUCAAUACAAUGUUCUCCCCCUCUCUCGUGGAGAUCUAUUGGUUGUAAUCUUCUUUUUGCGGUGUGUUUGUUGAGACCGAUGAAUUGUGGGUUUAUGAUCCAGCUUAUCUAUGAACAAUAUUUGAAUCUUCUCUGAAUUCUUUUAUGUAUGAUUGAGUUAUCUUUGCAAGUCUCUUCGAAUUAUCCGUUUGGUUUGGCCAAUAAGAUUGGUAGUUCUUGCAAUGGGAGAAGUGCUUAGCUUUGGGUUCAAUCUUGCGGUGUCCUUUCCCAGUGACAGAAGGGGCAGCAAGGCACGUAUUGUAUUGUUUCCAUUGAGGAUAACAAGAUGGGGUUUUUAUCAUAUUGCAUGAAUUUAUCCCUCUACAUCAUGUCAUCUUGCUUAAGGCGUUACUCUAUUUUUAACUUAAUACUCUAGAUGCAUGCUGGAUAGCGGUCGAUGAGUGGAGUAAUAGUAGUAGCUGCAGAAUCGUUUCGAUCUACUUGUCUUGGACGUGAUGCCUAUAUACAUGAUCAUACCUAGAUAUACUCAUAACUAUGCUCAAUUCUAUCAAUUUCUCAACAGUAAUUUGUUCACCCACCAUAUAAUAUCUAUGCUCUUGAGAGAAGCCACUAGUGAAACCUAUGGCCCCCGGGUCUAUUCUCAUCAUAUCAAUCUCCAUUACUUUAUUAUUUGCUUUGUUUUUACUUUUCCUUUUACUUUUCUCUUUGCAUCUAUAUACCAAAAAUACCAAAAAUAUUAUUUAUCAUCUCUAUCAGAUCUCACUCUCGUAAGUGACCGUGAAGGGAUUGACAACCCCUAAUCGCGUUGGUUGCGAGGAGCUAUCAUUUUGUGUAGGUAUGAGGGAAAUGUGCGUGGUCUCCUACUGGAUAGAUACCUUGGUUAUCAAAAACUGAGGGAAAUACUUACGCUACUUUGCUGCAUCAUCCUCUCCUCUUCGGGGAAAUCCAACGCAGUGCUCAAGAGGUAGCAAGAAGAAUUUCUGGUGCCAUUGCCGGGGAGGCUCACGCAAGAGCAAGUCAACCAUACCAAGUACCCAUCACAAUCCCUAUCUCUCGCAUUACAUUAUUUGCCAUUUGCCUCUCGUUUUCCUCUCCCCCACUUCACCAUUGCCGUUUUAUUCGCCCUCUCUUUCCCAAUCUCCUUCUCUUUUUCCCGUUUGCCUUUUCCCAUUGCCUUUCUGUUUGCUUGUGUGUUGGAUUACUUGUUGCCAUGGCGCAAGAUAAUACCAAAUUGUGUGACUUCUCGAAUACCAAUAAUAAUGAUUUCCUUAGUACUCCGAUUGCUCCUCUUAAUAAUGAUGAGUCUUGUGAAAUCAAUACCGCUUUGCUGAAUCUUGUUAUGAAAGAUCAAUUCGCUGGCCUUCCUAGUGAAGAUGCCGCUACUCAUCUAAACAAUUUUGUUGAUUUGUGUGAUAUGCAAAAGAAGAAAGAUACGGAUAACAAUAUUGUCAAAUUGAAGAUAUUUCCGUUUUCACUUAGAGAUCGUGCUAAAGUUUGGUUUUCAUCUUUGCCUAAAGAUAGUAUUGAUUCUUGGAACAAGUGCAAAGAUGCUUUUAUCUCUAAGUAUUUUCCUCCUGCUAAGAUCAUCACUCUUAGGAACGAUAUUAUGAAUUUUAAACAACUUGAUCAUGAGCAUGUUGCCCAAUCUUGGGAAAGAAUGAAAUUGAUGCUUCGCAAUUGCCCUACUCAUGGUUUGAAUUUAUGGAUGAUCAUACAAAAAAUUUAUGCCGGAUUGAAUUUUGCUUCUAGAAAUUUUUAGAUUCUGUCGCGGGAGGCACGUUUAUGGAAAUUACGUUAGGAGAUGCUACAAAAUUGCUUGAUAAUAUUGUGGCUAAUUAUUCUCAAUGGCACACCGAAAGAUCUUCUAAUAAAAAAGUGCAUGCUAUAGAAGAAGUCAAUGUUUUGAGUGAAAAGAUGGAUGAACUUAUGAAGAUGUUUGCUACUAAAAAUACUUCUAUUGAUCCCAAUGAUAUGCCCUUGUCUACUUUGAUUGAGAAUAAUAAUGAAUCUAUGGAUGUGAAUUUUGUUGGUAGGAAUAGUUUUGGAAACAACGCGUAUAGAGGGAAUUUUAAUCCUAGGCCUUAUCCUAGUAAUCCUUCUAAUAAUUAUGGAAAAUCCUACAACAACUCUUAUGGAAAUUUUAAUAAGAUGCCCUCUGAAUUUGAGAGUAGUGUUAAAGAGUUUAUGAAUUCACAAAAGAAUUUUAAUGCUUUGCUUGAAGAGAAAUUGCUUAAAGUUGAUGAUUUGGCUAGGAACGUUGAUAGAAUUUCUCUUGAAAUUGAUUCUUUAAAGCUUAGAUCUAUUCCUCCUAAGCAUGAUAUCAAUGAGUCUCUCAAAGCCAUGAUAAUUUCCAUUGAUGAGUGCAAACAAAGAACCGCUAGGAUGCGUGCUUCCAAAGAUGCCUUUAUUAAAGUGUGUUCUUUCAAUUUCUAUGAAAAUCAAGAUGAAGAUCUAAAAGUUAUUGAUGUGUCCCCCAUUAAAUCUUUGUUUUGCAAUAUGAAUCUUGAUGAAACUGAAUAUGAUCUUCCUUUACCUAGAAGGCGUUCUAAGAAUUCAGAAUUUCUAGAUCUUGAUGAUGAAAUUGAUAAAGGUGGGAUUGAAAGUAAUAAAAACCUAGAUGUUGCUAAACCCACUAUUUUGGAUCUCAAGGAAUUUAAUUAUGAAAAUUGCUCUUUAAUUGAUUGUAUUUCCUUGUUGCAAUCCGUGCUAUAUUCUCCUCAUGCUUAUAGUCAAAAUAAGGCCUUUACCGAACACAUUGUUGAUGCCUUGAUGCAAUCUUAUGACGAAAAACUUGAGUUGAAAGUUUCUAUCCCUAGAAAACUCUAUGAUGGGUGGGAACAUACUAUUAAAAUUAAAAUUAAAGAUUAUGAGUUUCAUGCUUUGUGUGGUUUGGGUGCUAGUGUCUCUACUAUUCCCAAAACUUUGUGUGAUUUGCUAGAUUUCCGUGACUUUGAUGAUUGCUCUCUAAACUUGCAUCUUGCGGAUUCCACUAUUAAAAAGCCUAUUGGAAGAAUUAAUGAUGUUCUUAUUGUUGCAAAUAGGAAUUAUGUGCCCGUAGAUUUUAUCGUUCUCGAUAUAGAUUGCAAUCCUUCAUGUCCUAUUAUUCUUGGUAGACCUUUCCUUAGAACGAUUGGUGCAAUUAUUGAUAUGAAGGAAGGGAAUAUUAGAUUCCAAUUUCCCUUAAAAGGGCAUGGAACACUUCCCUAGAAAUAAAAUAAAAUUACCAUAUGAAUCUAUCAUGAGAGUCACUUAUGGAUUGCCUACCAAAGAUGGCAAUACCUAGAUCUAUCCUUGCUUUUAUGCCUAGCUAGGGGCGUUAAACGAUAGCGCUUGUUGGGAGGCAACCCAAUUUUAUUUUUUUGUUUUUGUUUUUGCCUCUGUUUAGGAAUAAAUAAUCCAUCUAGCCUCUGUUUGGAUGUGGUUUUAUGUUUUAAUUACUGUUUGUGCCAAGUGGAACCUAUAGGAUAACCUACGAUGAUAGUUGAUUUGGUUCUGCUGAAAAACAGAAACUUUGCGUGCACGAAUAUAAUUUUUUUAAAUCACAGAAACGUGCUUUUGCGUUGAUUAAAUUUGCUGCUGUUCAAUAAGCAAAUCGUCCAGGACUUCCUAUUUUUGUAGGAUUUUUAGAGUUCCAGAAGUUUGCGUUAGUUACAGAUUACUACAGACUGUUCUGUUUUUGACAGAUUCUAUUUUGCGUGUGUUGUUUGCUUAUUUUGAUGAAUCUAUGGCUAGUAAAAUAGUUUAUAAUCCAUAGAUAAGUUGGAAUACAGUAGGUUUAACACCAAUAUAAAUAAUGAAUGAGUUCAUUACAGUACCUUUAAGUAGUCUUUUGUUUUCUUUCUCUAACGGAGCUCAUGAGAUUUCUAUUGAGUUUUGUGUUGUGAAGUUUUCAAGUUUUGGGUGAAUUCUUUUGAUGGAUUAUGGAACAGGGAGUGGCAAGAGCCUAAGCUUGGGGAUGCCCAUGGCACCCCCAAGAUAAUCCAAGGACACCAAAAAGUCAAAGAUUGGGGAUGCCCCGGAAGGCAUCCCCUCUUUCGUCUACUUCCAUCGGUAAUUUACUUGGAGCUAUAUUUUUAUUCACCACAUGAUAUGUGUUUUGCUUGGAGCGUCUUGUAUUAUUUGCAUCUUCGCUUGUUAGUUUACCACAAUCAUCCUUGCUGUACACACCUUUUGAUAGAGCCAUAUAUGAAUUGGAAUUUGCGAGAAUACUCUAUGUGCUUCACUUAUAUCUUUUGAGCUUGAUAGUUUUGCUCAUAGUACUUCACUUAUAUCUUUUGAGCGUGAUAAUUUUUGCUCUAGUACUUCACUUAUAUCUUUUAGAGCACGGUGGUGGAUUUGUUUUAAAGAAACUAUUGAUCUCUCAUGCUUCACUUAGAUUAUUUUGAGAGUCGUUAAUAGCAUGGUAAUUUGCUUAAUAUUAAUAUACUUGGUAUUCAAGAUAUGUGAAACUUUCUUUUGAGUGCAUUGAAUACUAAGAUAAGUUUGAUGCUUGAUAAUUGUUUUGAGAUAUGGAGGUGAUAAUAUCAAAGCCGUGCUAGUUGAGUAGUUGUGAAUUUGAGAAAUGCUUGUGUUGAAGUUUGCAAGUCCUAUAGCAUGCACGUAUGGUUAAAGUUGUGUAACAAAUUUGAAACAUGUAGUGUACCUGGCUUGUGCAUCCUUAUGAGUGGCGGUCGGGGAUGAGCGAUGGUCUUUUCCUACCAAUCUAUCCCCCUAGGAGCAUGCGCGUAGUACUUGAUUUUUGAUGACUUCUAAAUUUUUGCAAUAAGUAUAUGAGUUCUUUUGACUAAUGUUGAGUCCAUGGAUUAUACGCACUUUUACCUUUCCGCCUUUGCUAGCCUCUUUGGUACCGUGCAUUGCCCUUUCUCACCUUGAGAGUUGGUGCAAACUUCGCCGGUGCAUCCAAACCCCGUGAUACGAUAUGCUCUAUCAUACAUAAACCUCCUUAUAUCUUCCUCAAAACAGCCACCAUACCUACCUAUCAUGGCAUUUCCAUAGCCAUUCCGAGAUAUAUUGCCAUGCAACUUCCAUCAUCAUAUUCAUGACAUACAUUACUUUUGUCAUAUUGCCAUUGCAUGAUCAUGUAGUCGACAUCGUAUUUGUGGCAAAGCCACCAUGCAUUAUUUUUUCAUACAUGUCACUCUUGAUUCAUUGCACCAUCCCGGUACACCGCUGGAGGCAUUCAUAUAGAGUCAUAUCUUGUUCUAGUUUCGAGUUGUAAUCCUUGUGUUGUAAUCAAUAGAAGUGUGAUGAUCAUCAUUAUUAGAGCAUUGUCCCAAAAAAAGAGAAAAAAAGAAGAAAGGUCAAAAAGAAAAAAAAAGGCCAAAGAAAAAAAAGAAAAAAAAAGAAAGUGGCAAUGCUACUAUCUCUUUCCACACUUGUGCUUUAAAGUAGCACCUUGUUCUUCAUGUAGUGAGUCUCAUAUAUUGUGCUUCAAAGUAGCACCUUGUUCUUCAUGUAGUGAGUCUCAUAAGUUGUCUUUUUAUACUAGUGGGAAUUUUUUAUUAUAGAACUUGGCUUGUAUAUUCCUACGAUGGGCUUCCUCAAAUGCCCUAGGUCUUCAUGAGCAAGCGAGUUGGAUGCACACCCACUAGUUUUCUUUUGUUGAGCAUUCAUAGCUCUAGUGCAUCCGUUGCAUGGCAAUCCCUACUCCUCAUGUUGACAUCAAUUAAUGGGCAUCUCCAUAGCCCGUUGAUUAUCCUCGUCAAUGUGAGACUUUCUCCUUUUUUGUCUUCUCCACACAAUCCCCAUCAUCAUAUUCUAUUCCACCCAUAGUGCUAUAUCCAUGGCUCACGCUCAUGUAUUGCGUGAAGGUUGAAAAAGUUUGAGAUUAUUUAAGUAUGAAACAAUUGCUUGGCUUGUCAUCGGGGGUAUAGAAGUUGGGAACAUCUUUGUGUGACGAAAAUGAAGCAUAGCCUAACUAUAUGAUUUUGUAGGGAUGAACUUUCUUUUGCCAUGCCAUUUUGAGAAGACAUGAUUGCUUUGAUUAGUAUGCUUGAAGUAUUAUUAUUUUUAUGUCAAUAUGAACUUUUGUCUUGAAUCUUUCGGAUCUGAAUAUUCAUGCCACAAUUAAGAAGAUUUACAUUGAAAUUAUGCCAAAGUAUCACUUCGCAUCAAAAAUUCUUUUUUAUCAUUUACCUACUCGAGGACGAGCAGGAAUUAAGCUUGGGGAUGCCUGAUACGUCUCCAACGUAUCUGUAAUUUUUGAUUGCUCCAUGCUACUUUAUCUACUGUUUUGGACUAUAUUGGGCUUUAUUUUCCACUUUUAUAUUAUUUUUGGGACUAACCUAUUAACCGGAGGCCCAGCCCAGAAUUGUUGUUUUUUGCCUAUUUCAGUGUUUUGAAGAAACGGAAUAUCAAACGGAGUCCAAACGGAAUGAAACCUUCGGGAACGUGAUUUUCUCACCGAACGUGAUCCAGGAGAUUUGGACCCUACUCCAAGAAGUAACAGAGGGGGCACCCCCCUAGGGCGCGUCCCCCCUGCCUCGUGGCUCCCUUGUUGCUCCACCGACGUACUCCUUCCUCCUAUAUAUACCUACGUACCCCCAAACGAUCAGAACAGGAGCCAAAAACCUAAUUCCACCGCCGCAACCUUUUGUAUCCACGAGAUCCCAUCUUGGGGCCUGUUCCGGAGCUCCGCCGGAGGGGGCAUCCACCAUGGAGGGCUUCUACAUCAACACCAUAGCCCCUUCGAUGAAGUGUGAGUAGUUUGCUUCAGACCUUUGGGUCCAUAGCUAGUAGCUAGAUGGCUUCUUCUCUCUUUUUGGAUCUCAAUACCAUGUUCUCCCCCUCUCUCGUGGAGAUCUAUUCGAUGUAAUCUUCUUUUUGCGGUGUGUUUGUUGAGACCGAUGAAUUGUGGGUUUAUGAUCCAGCUUAUCUAUGAAUAAUAUUUGAAUCUUCCCUGAAUUCUUUUAUGUAUGAUUGAGUUAUCUUUGCAAGUCUCUUUGAAUUAUCUGUUUGGUUUGGCCAACUAGAUUCAUAGUUCUUGCAAUGGGAGAAGUGCUUAGCUUUGGGUUCAAUCUUGCGGUGUCCUUUCCCAGUGACAGAAGGGGCAGCAAGGCACGUAUUGUAUUGUUUCCAUUGAGGAUAACAAGAUGGGGUUUUUAUCAUAUUGCAUGAAUUUAUCCCUCUACAUCAUGUCAUCUUGCUUAAGGCGUUACUCUGUUUUUAACUUAAUACUCUAGAUGCAUGCUGGAUAGCGGUCGAUGAGUGGAGUAAUAGUAGUAGAUGCAGAAUCAUUUCGAUCUACUUGUCUUGGAUGUGAUGCCUAUAUACAUGAUCAUACCUAGAUAUACUCAUAACUAUGCUCAAUUCUAUCAAUUGCUCAACAGUAAUUUGUUCACCCACCAUAGAAUAUCUAUGCUCUUGAGAGAAGCCACUAGUGAAACCUAUGGCCCCCGGGUCUAUUCUCAUCAUAUCAAUCUCCAUUACUGUAUUAUUUGCUUUGUUUUUACUUUGCCGUUUACUUUUCACUUUGCAUCUAUAUACCAAAAAUACCAAAAAUAUUAUUUAUCAUCUCUAUCAGAUCUCACUCUCGUAAGUGACUAUGAAGGGAUUGACAACCCCUAAUCGCGUUGGUUGCGAGGAGCUAUCGUUUUGUGCAGGUACGAGGGACUUGUGCGUGGUCUCCUACUGGAUUGAUACCUUGGUUCUCAAAAAUUGAGGGAAAUACUUACGCGACUUUGCUGCAUCAUCCUCUCCUCUUCAGGGAAAUCCAACACAGUGCUCAAGAGGUAGCAGUACACCACCGUAAGCAUUCAUAUUGAGUCAUAUUUUGUCCUAAGUAUUGACUUGUAAUUCUUGAGUUGUAAAUAAAUAAAAGUGUGAUGAUCUUCAUUAUUAGAGCAUUGUCCCAUGUGAGGAAAGGAUGAUGGAGACUAUGAUUCCCCCACAAGUCGGGAUGAGACUCCGGACGAAAUAAAAAAAGAGAAAAAAAAGAGGCCAAUGAAUCCCAAAUAUAUAUAGAGAGAGAGAGAGAACAGGCCAAAGAAGCCCAAAUAAAAAAAUGAGAGAAAAAGAGAGAAGGGACAAUGUUACUAUCCUUUUUCCACACUUGUGCUUCAAAAUAGCACCAUGAUCUUCAUGAUAGAGAGUUUCUUAUUUUGUCUCUUUCAUAUACUAGUGGGAAUUUUUCAUUAUAGAACUUGGCUUGUAUAUUACAAUGAUGGGCUUCCUCAAAAUGCCAUAGGUCUUCGUGAGCAGGCAAGUUGGAUGCACACCCACUUAGUUUCUGUUUGAUGAGCUUUCAUACAUUUAUAGCUCUAGUGCAUCCGUUGCAUGGCAAUCCCUACUCCUAGUAUUGACAUCAAUUGAUGGGCAUCUCCAUAGCUCGUUGAUUAGCCGCGUCAAUGUGAGACUUUCUCCUUUUUUGUUUUCUCACAUAAUCCCUAUCAUCAUACUCUACUCCACCCAUAGUGCUAUGUCCAUGGCUUACGCUCAUGUAUUGCGUGAGGGUUGAAAAGGCUGAAGCGCGUUAAAAAGUAUGAACCAAUUGCUUGGCUAAAACCGGGGUUAUGCAUGAUGGGAGCAUUUUGUGUGACUAAAAUAAAGCAUGGCCAAACUAUAUGAUUUUGUAGGGAUAAGCUUUCUUUGGCUAUGUUAUUUUGAUAAGACAUAAACUGCUUGGUUAGCAUGCUUGAAGUAUUACUAUUUUUAUGUCAAUAUUAAACUUUUAUCUUGAAUCUUCUGGAUCUGAACAUUCAUGCCACAAUAAAGGGAAUUACAUUGAUAAAUAUGUUAGGUAGCAUUCCACAUAAAAAAUUCUAUUUUUAUCAUUUACCUACUCGAGGACGAGCAGGAAUUAAGCUUGGGGAUGCUCGAUAUGUCUCCAAUGUAUCUAUAAUUUUUUAUUGUUCCAUGCUAUUAUAUUAUCCAUCUAGGAUGUUUUAUAUGCAUAUAUAUGCUGUUUUAUAUGAUUUUUGGGACUAACCUAUUAACCUAGAGCCCAGUGUCGGUUUCUGUUUUCUCUUUGUUUUUGAGUUUUAUAGAAAAGGAGUACCAAACGGAGUCCAAUUAACAUGCCAAUUUUUGAUGAUUUUUUAUGGACCAAAAGAAGGCCCUGGAGUGAAAGAGUUGGGCCAGAAGAGUCCCAGGCUGCCCACGAGGGUGGGGGCCGCGCCCACCCCCUGGGCACGCCCCCUGUCUCGUGGACAGCCCGGAGACCUCCCUGACUUGUAUGUCUUGCAUGUGCUUAUCUGUGAUGACAAUGGGAUAUUCACGUGAUCUACUUGAUGUAUGUUUUGGUUAUCAACUUGAGGGUUCAGUGACCUUGUGAACUUAUGCCUAGGGGUUGGCACACGUUUUCGUCUUGACUCUCCGGUAGAAACUUUGGGGCACUCUUUGAAGUAAUUUGUGUUGGUUGAAUAGAUGAAUCUGAGAUUGUGUGAUGCAUAUCGUAUAAUCAUGCCCACGGAUACUUGAGGUGGCAUUGGAGUAUCUAGGUGACAUUAGGGUAUUGGUUGAUUUGUGUCAUAAGGUGUUAUUCUAGUACGGACUCUUGAAUAGAUCGAUCAGAAAGGAGAACUUUGAGGUGGUUUCAUACCCUUCAAUAAUCUCUUCGUUUGUUCUCCGCUAUUAGUGACUUUGGAGUGACUCUUUGUUGCAUGUUGAGGGAUAGUUAUAUGAUCCAGUUAUUUUAUUAUUGUUGAGAGAAGUUGCACUAUUGAAAGUAUGAACCCUAGGCCUUGUUUCCUAGCAUUGCAAUACCAUUUACGCUCACUUUUACCACUUCUUACCUUGUUGUUUUUAUAUUUUUUAGAUUACAAAAACCUAUAUCUAUCAUCCAUAUUGCACUUGUAUCACCAUAUCUUCGCUGAACUAGUGCACCUAUACAAUUUACCAUUGUAUUGGGUGUGUUGGGGACACAAGAGACUCUUUGUUAUUUGGUUGCAGGGUUGUUUGAGAAAGACCAUCUUCAUCCUAUGCCUCCCACGGAUUGAUAAACCUUAGGUCAUCCACUUGAGGGAAAUUUGCUACUGUCCUACAAACCUCUGCACUUGGAGGCCCAACAACGUCUACAAGAAAAAGGUUGUGUAGUAGACAUCACGCAACGACGCGGCACACCGUGUCGUCGCAUGCGGAGGUGAGUCCGUCACAUCCGUGACCCCACUAUCUAUCUUAGGGUUUUAGGGUUUAUUUUCUAAGUUUUGUGUUUUACUUUGUUAUAUGGACUUCAUAUGUUUCUGUAUUUGAACUUCUUAUGUUUGUUUGCUAGUGUUUAUUUAUUCGUUUGUCUUACUUCACUUGAUAGUGUACUUGAACUUCUGUUAUUUAUUUUGAAUUUUGAACUUCUAUAUUUUUUCUAAGUUGUGUAUUUUAGUUAUAUAUGGACUUCAUCUGUUUUUUGUAUUUGAACUACUCUUUAUUGUUUCUUACUAUUUAUUUAUUCAUAUGCCUUGACUUCCCUGAUUAGUGUACUUGAACUUAUGUUCUUUAUUUUGUGAACUUCUUUCUCUUGUUUAUGUAGGUGCAUAUUUGUGUAUGUAUUUUUAUUCCCUUGGUAGUGUAUUUGCCAUCAAUUUUUGCUUUUAAGGAUACCAGCAGUUUUGUUGUGUGAUCUUAUCAAUUUAUAAUAGAUGCAUUCAAAUGGUGCAUUCAUAUAUCAAUAGGGCAUUUACUUUUUUAGUUGUUGGGGAGGGGGGGUAAAACUGCACACCCCACUACAGGGAGGCAUUAAGUGCCCGACUCCCUCGCCACCACCUGUCAGAAAUCCCCUUCCCCUGGCACUCGCUCUCUUCUCCCUCUCUGAGGCUCCGCUGCUCUCCUCUCCUCCAACCUCCCCCAACUUCUCCACCGCUGUCGCAUGCGCUCGUUUGUGGAGUAACCGCCGCGUGCCACGCUCCUAUUUCUCCCCCAUGCCCCGCUCUCCCUCGCCCAGUCCGUGCUCUUCUCCUCUAAAGCAAAACCGCAACUGCCUGCGCGGUUCCAAACUACGUGUGGCGUCGUGGGGGUGGAAGAACCGCCACGUAUUCAUGCGUGCGGGGGUCGUUUGGAGAGGUACAAAUGCUCCCCCCCCUAAUGCUUGCUCUUAGUUUCGCCAGAUCUGUCGAGGCCUGUCUGUUUCUUCUGUGUGCUCUCCCAUCCGCAUCCUACCCCUUCUUCUGAUGGUUGGGUGGGAUAUUAGGUAGGUUCUUGUGCAUGUGGUGGGUGGAUUCCAUUCCCCCAUGGUGAGAUUUGUCUAUGAGAUGCUUGUGUGUGCUAUUUCCCCUUCAGACUUGUGUGGAUUUAUUUCCCCUUUGGUGAUUUCAGCAGUCAGAUGCAUGUAAGAGAGGGUGUGGUGUGAUGGUUGAUGCUGGAUCUGAUGUAUCUUAUUGCAUUAGUGUCGUUGAAUUCGAAGUCUAGAUUGUUUCUGUCAAAUGCUAGUUAGUUUAUGGAUCCUUUUUGUUGUUGUGCUUGCCUAGUUGUGCUACUUUUCAUAUUUUCAUACUUGUUGGUAUGUUCAGUUGUUUCAUCCUAGGGUUUGAUUUAGUUUCUUUUUGUAUUUCUUGUAUGAUUUUCUACUUGCUAACUAUAAGCAAUCUAUCCCCUGUUUUUAGUAGGUUGUUCUAGGGUUUGGAGUUCCAUUCAUCAAGGGGUUCUGUUGUCAUGGCUUCAAAACCUUCUCCAGGUAUUGUAUUGUAGUUGGAUCUUGUAUUUUAAAUAGCAGUUUUCUUAUAUAUUGUUGCCCAUAUCUUCACUUAGUUGUUUUGUUGGACUGCCUUCUCUUAAUAGUGUGAACUUCUAACAAAGGUCAUGUGUAUGCAUUUUACCCUUUGUUUAAGUUAGUAGAGUGUUGCUUAGUUUUUAUUUUGAUGAAUUGCUGGUGAACUAUGUCACCAAGUGUAGUUGGACUUCCCAAAUGUUUCAUAUUUAUAGUGUAUAUCUUUGUUUUUUCUUUUUUUGUGUGAUCAUUUUCAUGGUAUUGAUAUUUAGUUUGCUUGUGAAAUAGUAUUUCUGCUGAUGCUACAUCUUUUUUAUGUGGUACUUGCUUGGUCACAUACUUGAACUUCUGGUUUUAAUUAUUGUUUGUUUAUAAUGAAAUUUGGUUGAACUUCUGUUCUGCGUAUUUGUUUUACUACUUUGUUAUAUAUUGUUUAACUUCUGGACAUUCUGUCAGGACCCCGACUCGAUGCCACAUCGAUCUAGCAUGUAACACCUCAUAUCACUUUGCGGCCUCACGCACGGUAUCCCCACGGGUGUCGCCUCACUUUUGCCCGGGACCGUUUGCGCAUUUUGGCACACGUAUAUGAUGGUGUCGCUAGCAUCCAUAUGAUAAAGAGCCCGGGCUGACAUGGCUAGUCGUAAACCCAAAGUGGCACUAACUUACAGGGACAGGCAUCCAUGACCCAGCAUCGAACGUGUCGGUCAUCAGCGAGUGAAUCCAGGCUGUAGCACUAGGCUAACAGGACUCCGGUGAACCGGGCUGUAGCGGGCUAGCAGGACUCCGGUAUUCAUCGCGUGACAUUUCCCCGAAGGGACAGACACAGGAUCGAAGAAGGACACAUGCCGGCCAACCUAAGUGUUCCGGAGCAGUAGCAAGCUACCAGGGCUCAGUGGAAGCACUAGGAGACAUUUCCCGGUAAGAGAGUCUACUAAGGAUAAACAACUAGAUAGUCAGAUCCCACACAUAGCAGUACACGUUACACGUACGCAUAACAUGCAAGUAUGUGCUGUACAACAUGGCAUCACAGCAUAACUCAACAAUCAUAUAGAUAAAGGCUCAGAAGAGCCAUCAUAGCAUUUAUUGCAAAUAGGGGUCACAAAACCCGUCAUACAGAGCAUACAAGGAACAAGCGGAAGCAUUACAUGUCUGGGUACAGACAUCUACAAAUGAAAAAGGCUGAAGAGCCUGACUAUCUACAACAUCCGAUCAAGAUCGUAGCUGAGGUACUAGCUACUAGUCGAAGUCCAUGAGACCCUAGUAAGACCGAUGUCCCCGCUGCAAAAACAUAAAUAAAGCAACAUGAGUACAAAGGUACUCAGCAAGACUUACAUCAGAUCCUACCAUACAUGCAUCCGUAUCAAGAGGUAGUGUGGGGUUUAGUUGCAGCAAGCCAGCUUUGACUCUAUGGCUAUCCUGUUCUACGACUACCAGAAACUCUUGAGGUGAAACAACGUACACGAGUCCACUAAUCACCAUACAAUACACUACUAUGGAUUCAUCCCCGUCUCCCUACGAGAAGGCCAUCCAUAGCACUCACACUUGUCUUGAGCAUUUUAUAGUAUCCACUUCAAGUUGUCUAUGUACCAUGUAAGCAUCCAAGAAGUCCAUAACCGCGGACCCGGCUAUUCGAAUAGAUCAUGUUAACCCUGCAGGGGUGUACUUCUUCACACAUGCUCUCGCCACUUACCGCCAUGUACACGUCAUGUAUCUCGGCAACCUUCAAGCGGAAGCCUGGCGAGGGUGUCGGCCACGACCUGACUAACCACACAAGACUCUAGUCUAGGUUUAUCGCCUAUUCGGGUUCCAUCCGCAAGGAGAUCCGGCCGGGGUGUCGCUUACGGCCCCAAACGAUGUGUACAGGGUUCCCGAGCCCACCAACUGGGUGCCACUCGGUACACCGGGCGACGUGUGCCUAGUCUGUCCCAAGCCCACCCUGCCGGGUGCCACUUGGUAGAAAAAUAGCACUACCUACAAACACCAGAAACUAGUUGCGACUCCUGGACAGAGAUCAAGUUGGUUAAUAAGCCGAGAGAGUCAAUUAAGGAUCCCAAUGUGUGGUAGUAUCGAGUCAUUGGACAACAUACAUAGAACUCAGUGCUUAAGGACGGCUACAGCGAGACAACCCACCAUGUACUCCUACAUGGCCUCUCACCGCUACCUUUACCAAAUCGUGAUCACACACUUCACUCUCAGCAUCAAAACAUAUCGUGACACUCCAAUUCAUUCCCAAUGAACCAGACCUGACACACUCUAAGCAAUAGCAGGCAUAGCAUGGUAGGAACACAUCAGUGGCUUCAAUCAACUCCUACACAUGCUUGUGGGUUUCAACUAUUUACUGUGGCAAUGACAGGUCAUGCAGAGGAAUGGGUUCAACUACCGCAGCACAAAGUAGCAGAUGAACCGUUGUUGUCCUAAUGCAAUAAGUGAGAGCAGGAGCGAGAGAGUAGGGUUUUAUCGAAAUGAACAAGGGGGGUUUGCUUGCCUGGUAAUCAACAAGGGAGGCACUGCUUCACAGACAGGUACUCUGGAACGUCUCCGGAGCAGGACCUAUCGAGAAGGAACGGUGCCGGCAAUCAAAACACAAUCAUAUGCAACAAUAUGAUGCAUGAACAUGGCAUGUAGAUGUGAUGCUGUUUGAACUAAUGCAUCUAGUAAACAUUUGGUUUGAAGUCCAUUUGAACCAAAGGUUCAAAUGCAUUUCUAAAUUAAGUCUCUUAUAUAUGCCAUAAUGUGUUUUCCCAUAUUCAGCGUGUAUAAGUUGGUUUUUCAUGCAUGAAACUAGUACAGAUGGAAAGAUUGCAUUUUUCUGAUAAUUUUUCAUAUAUAAAUUAUUUUAAUCUGAGCUACGGUUGAAUUGUUAUGAAUUAUUGAAGUUUAAAACAAUUUCUGGAAUUUCCUGAUUUAAAUUAAAUCCAGAAAUUAUAUUAUAGCGCCAGCAUGACGUCAGCACGACGUCAACGGUCAACUGGGCUGGUCCGGGUCAAACCUGACGUGUGGGACCCACACGUCAGUGACAGGGGGUUAACAGGGGUUAAUUUAGUUUAAUUAAAAGGUUAGGGGGCACCGGGGCCCACUGUCAGUGUCAGGGGGGUUAGUUAACGGUGAUUAGCACUAAGCUAAUCACCUGACGGGCCGGUCCCACAUGGCAGGGCUCAGGCGACGGGGCUCGCCGCCGGCGACCUCUGGACGCGGCAGAGUCCGCGCCACAGGCCACGGGGACGGCGUCUGAGAGCACCGGGGCGUAGCCCGGGCUCUCGCGCAUCUGGUGGGAUAGGUGGGAGGAGCGGGGAAGGCCGGAGCUCGCCGGAGCAAAGCUCGCGGCGCCGGCCGGAGUUCGGGCGCGAGUGGGAUCGGGCUGCGGGGCACGAGGAGGCCACCUGAGGGGCUCGGCGGCACCCUCGUGGCACCGGGAGCACGCUAGGGUGCUUAGGUUGGGAGGAGGCGGGCCGAGACGGCGACGACGACAUGAACGGCAGAGAGGCUUUGGCCGUGGUGGGGAGCGGCGCUACGGCACGGGAACGGGGGGGAGAAGAGAGGGGAAACAGGAAGAAGCUCACGGCGAUCACGCAGAGCAGCACAGCGGGGUCGGGGGAGACCUGGUGACGGCGAAUCGACGGCUGCGGACGGCGGAGCCGGAGGAGGAAGACGAUGGCGAUAGCGGCGAUGGAGGCCGUCCGGAGGUGCGUGGCUCGACGAGGAGCUUCAGNNNNNNNNNNNNNNNNNNNNNNNNNNNNNNNNNNNNNNNNNNNNNNNNNNNNNNNNNNNNNNNNNNNNNNNNNNNNNNNNNNNNNNNNNNNNNNNNNNNNNNNNNNNNNNNNNNNNNNNNNNNNNNNNNNNNNNNNNNNNNNNNNNNNNNNNNNNNNNNNNNNNNNNNNNNNNNNNNNNNNNNNNNNNNNNNNNNNNNNNNNNNNNNNNNNNNNNNNNNNNNNNNNNNNNNNNNNNNNNNNNNNNNNNNNNNNNNNNNNNNNNNNNNNNNNNNNNNNNNNNNNNNNNNNNNNNNNNNNNNNNNNNNNNNNNNNNNNNNNNNNNNNNNNNNNNNNNNNNNNNNNNNNNNNNNNNNNNNNNNNNNNNNNNNNNNNNNNNNNNNNNNNNNNNNNNNNNNNNNNNNNNNNNNNNNNNNNNNNNNNNNNNNNNNNNNNNNNNNNNNNNNNNNNNNNNNNNNNNNNNNNNNNNNNGAGGGGGCGGAGCUCCUGCGCGUGUCGGGGAGGCGAGGGGGAGGCGGUGGCUAUGGCCACGGCGUGCGGCAGCGACGGCAGCGCUUCGGGCGGUCGGGAGAGAGAGAACCAGGGGAGGGGGGGAAGGAAUGAGAGAGUAGGAGAGAGGUGCGGGGCGUCGCGUGGCGUCGUCCGGUCCAUCCAGAGCGACGAGGGGAGGACAGGCAAGCAGGGAGGGAGGAGGCGUGGCGCGGUGGCGCGCGCGCGCGCCGGGCACACUCCGUUCCUCUGUCGGGGAGGAAGACAACAGAGGAGGGGGGCCAGGUGGGCUGGGCCGCCUGCUGGCUGGGCCGGCCUGCUGCGGCUGGGCUGCACAGGGGGGGGAGCCCCAGGUAAGCCCCUCUUUCCUUUUAUUUUGUUUUCUAAUUUUUCUGACAUUUGUUUUGAUUUAAUAAAAUACUAAAUCAAUUUAUUACCUUAUGCCAAUUUUUGCAGGAGCUAGAUAUAUUAUUCCAGAGCUCUUUUAUAAUUGGCAUAAUUUUUGGACCAUAUUCCAUAUAUAUAGAAAUAUAUUUCCAAUGCAAAUAUUUAUCGAAUUAAUCCAGAUGGCCAAAAUAAAUAUCCAUGAGCUCCUAAAAAUAUUGUUUUGAUUUUUAUCUCUGUCCAAUAUUUUCAGAGGGCAACAUGAGCAUUUUCUUGGACCCUUUUGGAGAAAUUUUUAUUUAGGUCAUUUUCAAAAAUGAUUCUGAGGGUUCCACCAAUCCUCAUUUCAAAUUUAAAUGAAAUUUAAAUAUGAUGCACAAAUGGCUAGCUAGUCUAAGUCAUACCAGACUAGGGAUGUGACAACUCGCCCCCACUUGAAAGAAUCUCGUCCCGAGAUUUAGGGGUCGACGGAAAGAAAGUGGGGUACUCCAGUCGAAGACGAUCUUCUCGCUCCCAAGUAGCUUCUCUCUCGGAAUGAUGAGACCACUGAACUUUGAGAAACUUGAUGUUCUGACGUCGAGUGACACGCUCUGCUUGAUCAAGAAUGCGAACCGGGUACUCUCGGUAUGUGAGGUUAUCUUGGAGAUCAAGCAUUUCGUGGUCCACUCCGCGGAUGGGAUCCGAGAAGCAACGCCUGAGUUGAGAGACGUGGAAGACAUCAUGAACUCGAGAAAGAUGUGGGGGUAGUUCCAACUGGUAGGCAACCUCUCCUCGUUUAGCGAGAAUACGAAAAGGACCAAUGUAACGAGGAGCCAACUUGCCCUUGAUACCGAAACGAUGGGUAACCUUCAAAGGAGUAACCCGAAGGUAAGCUUGGUCGCCAAUUUCAUAGGUCAUAUCCUUAUGAUGACGAUCGUACUGGCUUUUCUGACGAGACUGGGCUGUUUUCAAAUUCUCACGAAUGAUGCGAACUUGCUCUUCUGCCUCCUGGAUCAUAUCCGGUCCAAAGAAUUGUCUUUCACCGGUUUCUGACCAGUUCAAAGGUGUUCGACAUCUUCGUCCAUAGAGAACCUCAAAAGGAGUUUUCUUGAGGCUGGAUUGGUAGCUAUUGGUAUAAGCAAACUCGGCGAAAGGAAGACAUUUCUCCCAAUCCAUACCGAAUGAGAUAAUGCAAGCUCUGAGCAUGUCUUCGAGAAUUUGAUUGACCCGUUCCACCUGACCACUCGACUGAGGGUGGAAAGCGGUGCUGAAGGAAAGAUGGGUUCCCAUGGCAGUUUGGAAACUCUCCCAGAAAUGAGAAGUGAAAAGGCUGCCACGGUCUGAAUUGAUCUCUAGUGGAACACCAUGAAGUGAUACUACUCGAGAAAUAUAUAAGUCAGCAAGCUGACUAGCAGUGAUACUCUCUCGAACAGGAAGGAAGUGAGCCACUUUGGAAAGGCGAUCAACGACUACGAAGAUAGCGUUAUUCCCUCUCUUGGUCCUGGGAAAGCCGGUGAUGAAGUCCAUACCAACUUUAUCCCAUUUCCAUUCAGGAAUAGCUAAAGGCUGAAGGGUGCCAGCAGGUCUUUGAUGCUCUGCCUUAACGCGACGACAAAUGUCACAUUUAGCAAUGAACUCCGCGAUUUCUCUCUUCAUCCUAGUCCACCAGAACCUCUGGCGUAGGUCCUGAUACAUCUUAGUGCUACCGGGAUGAAUCGUGAGAGGAGAUUCAUGCGCCUCCUUAAGAAUCAAUUGUCGAAGAUGUUGCUUCUUGGGGACCACCAGGCGGUUUCCAAAGAAAACAACACCUCGAGCAUCAACAGAGAAACUACCAGCAACUCCCUUCUUAACGUUAUCCUUGAUACGAGAAAUACCCGUAUCAUAUUGUUGGCUAGUUAUGAUCUGAUCCUCAAGAUCAGGUUUCGCCACCAAAGUAGAAAGAAAUCCGCGAGGAGUUAUGUGAAGAUUAAGCUUACAGAAUUCCUCAUGGAGAGUGGUUGGCCUUGCUGCAACAUGAGAUUGUUGCAAUAGGAUUUACGACUUAGAGCAUCAGCCAUGACAUUGGCUUUGCCUGGGGUGUAGGUAAUCCCUAGAUCAUAAUCUGUGAUCAACUCCAGCCAACGUCUUUGCCUAAGGUUCAGAUCCGGUUGGGUGAAAAUAUACUUGAGACUCUGGUGAUCAGUGUAGAUCUCGCAACGUUUACCAAGGAGGUAAUGUCGCCAGGUCUUGAGUGCAUAGACUACGGCUGCAAGCUCUAGAUCAUGUGUAGGAUAAUUCUCCUCAUGUGGAUGCAACUGUCGAGAUGCAUAGGCAAUCACAUGACGAUCCUGCAUAAGAAUGCAACCUAGUCCCUGUCGUGAGGCGUCGCAGUAGAUAAUAAAGUCUUUAGUGAAAUCCGGUGGCACAAGUAUGGGAGCAGAAGUCAGGCGUCUUUUCAGUUCCUGAAAACUGUACUCACACUGUGGGGACCACUCGAACUUUUUAUCUUUCUUGAGAAGUUCCGUGAGGGGUUUGGCUACCUUGGAGAAGUUUUCAACAAAGCGGCGACAAUAGCUGGCUAGACCAAGGAAACUCCUAACUUGUUUAACGGUCUCAGGUGGAGUCCAAUCGAGAACAGCCUGAACUCUCUCGGGAUUGACAGCAAUGCCCUUACCAGAGAUUACGUGGCCUAGGUAGGUCACUUCUGGCAACCAAAAUUCACAUUUGGAGAACUUGGCAUAAAGGCGGUGCUCUCUGAGUUUUUCUAAUACAAGUCUAAGAUGUUCGGCAUGCUCUUUCUCGUUCUUCGAGUAAAUAAGAAUAUCAUCGAGGUAAACCACGACGAACUUAUCUAAGUACUCCAUGAAGAUCGAGUUCAUCAGGCGGGAGAAUGUGGCUGGGGCGUUGGUUAGGCCAAAGGACAUGACGGUGUACUCGUACUGACCAUAACGAGUAACAAAAGUUGUCUUGGGAAUGUCCCCAUUUCUGAUUUUGAUUUGGUGGUAUCCUAACCUUAAAUCCAUCUUGGAGAAGACUGAGGAUCCAGCGAGCUGAUCAUAUAGGUCGUUGAUCCUGGGAAGCGGAUACUUGUUCUUUAUCGUGACCAAAUUAACGGGACGAUAAUCUACAACCAUCCGGUCCGUACCGUCUUUCUUCUUGACGAAGAGGACGGGGCAAGCCCAAGGAGAAGAACUAGGACGGAUGAAACCCUUUUGUAAGGACUCAUCGAGUUGUUUCUUAAGCUCGGCUAGUUCUAGGGGUGCCAUCUUGUAAGGUCUCCGGGAGAUUGGAGCUGUUCCUGGGAUAAGAUCUAUGACGAACUCUACAUCUCUGUCAGGUGGAACACCUGGCAGUUCCUCUGGAAAGACAUCCGGAAAGUCACGGACUACCGGGAUAUCUUCAAGGUCUGGAAGAGGGCUGGCAUUAAGAGAAUAGAGCUGACGCUUUGCAACUCUAGUGGAGACGGUGACUAUCUUGCCAGAUGGGUGUGUAAGCUGAACAGAUCUUGUGUAACAAUCAACCUUGGCAUGAUGAGCUGUCAUCCAGUCCAUACCCAAGAUGAUGUUAAUAUCUGAGGACUUGAGGGGUACAAGUGAUGCAAGGAAUACAAGUCUAUCAACAAGGAUUUCAUUACCAUGGCUGAUUCUGGUGGUCUGCCAUCUAGACCCUGGGGUUUGGAUUUCAAGCGGAGUUGGCAUAUCACAAAAUGACAUGUCGUGCAAACGAGCAUAGCCUUCAGAAAUGAAGGAGUGAGAUGCUCCAGUAUCGAAUAGAACUGAUGCUGGGUGACAAUUGACAAGGAGGGUACCAAGAACGACAUCUGGAUCAUCAUGAGCGUCUUUAGCUGAGACGUGAUGCACACGUCCACGUUCAGUGGGGGCUGACUUAACACUGUUCAUCUUGCGUGAUGGCUUAAUACAGCCAACAGUCUUCUCGGGCUGGGGUGGAGCAUAACUAGUCUGAGAGCAAUCACGUGCAUAGUGUCCUGGCUUCCCGCAUGUGAAGCAAGUCCCUGAGGUUGGACGUGGACCCGCACUGACAAGCGUUCUACCAGUAGGCAAGGGUGGAAUAUACGACUGAGCUGGGGAAGGCACCACAUAGGAUGACCUCGGUGUAUAACCGGAAGGAAGAGCGGAGUUUGGAACCCAAAUCCGGCGCUUCUGGGAACUAGAGACAGAGGAGGAUCCCAAAUCACGGGUGUGCUUACGAGACUCCUCGUAACUGAGCUGAGCUGUCUCUGCAUUGAUGGCCUUGUUCACAAGGGCUUGGAAUGUAUCACAAUGAUGCAGGUGGAGAUCACGACGCAACUUGGGGUUGAGACCCUUCCGGAACCUAGCUUGCUUCUUGGCGUCCGUGGACACUUCUUCUGUGGCAUAACGGGCGAGGUUCUCGAACUCUCUGCUAUAAGCAUCAACAGCCAUCUUACUCUGGGUGAAAUUACAGAACUCUUCUCUCUUGCGAUCAAGGAGGGCCUGGGGAAUGUGAUGCUCGCGAAAAGCCUCAGUGAAAUCCUUCCAGGUAGGAAUCUGGCCAGCUGGAAGCAUAGCCUCAUAGUUCUGCCACCAAAGACUAGCAGGACCUUCCAGGUGGUAUGUGGCAUAAGUGACCUUGUCAUCUUCAGCUACGUUCGCAGAACGCAGCUUAUGAGUGAUGCUACGGAGCCAAUCAUCUGCAUCGAGUGGCUCGAUGGAAUGAUGAAAAGUAGGUGGGUGCAAGCGAAUGAAAUCAUGAAUGGUAGCAGACCCCUUUGAACUGAUGUGCGGUGUUCUCCUCGAUACGUGCCAACAAACGAUUAGACUCACGCUUGUUCCUCUCCAUCUCUAACAUGAACUCUGUCAACGAAGGCUGGUCGGGAGGAUCCUCAUUCCUACCAUCUCCGUGGUUCUGGCUACGAGCGACGGAACUUCGCUUAGCUGAUGACAUCCUGAGAAACGAAACCAAGGACGGAAUCAGCAUCAACUAAAGACUGUAGCAUGUAGGACAAGGAAUUAGUAUCUCUCGAACUCCUAGAGAAAUUCCGGCAGCAUAACGGCAGUAAAAUGCCCAGAAUGAGACAUCCUACUAAAAAUGGGGUAGUACAACAACUCAACAUCACCACUCAAGGUUCUGGGAUAGUACUAAACAGAAUACACCGGAAGUACUCGAAACUGGGGUAUGACUCUGAUCAACCAGUCUUAUGGAACUACGGAGUAGUAACACGUGAUCCUGAUAGACGGAAGAGAAGCCUAGUUCCUUAACCCCGGAGGAAGAUAGGAGGACUCAGAUCAGAAGGCCAUGAGGUAAAGGAGUAAAAAGAGCCUUACGUUCCAACCCGCAAUCAAUUCCCUUACAUAACUAAAGAAUUUCUAGACUCGACUUCGACCGGUUUGGCUUGGUAAUCCUACAGGCAGUCAGGCUCUGAUACCAAAGCUGUCAGGACCCCGACUCGAUGCCACAUCGAUCUAGCAUGUAACACCUCAUAUCACUUUGCGGCCUCAAGCACGGUAUCCCCACGGGUGUCGCCUCACUUUUGCCCGGGACCGUUUGCGCAUUUUGGCACACGUAUAUGAUGGUGUCGCUAGCAUCCAUAUGAUAAAGAGCCCGGGCUGACAUGGCUAGUCGUAAACCCAAAGUGGCACUAACUUACAGGGACAGGCAUCCAUGACCCAGCAUCGAACGUGUCGGUCAUCAGCGAGUGAAUCCAGGCUGUAGCACUGGGCUAACAGGACUCCGGUGAACCGGGCUGUAGCGGGCUAGCAGGACUCCGGUAUUCAUCGCGUGACAUUUCCCCGAAGGGACAGACACAGGAUCGAAGAAGGACACAUGCCGGCCAACCUAAGUGUUCCGGAGCAGUAGCAAGCUACCAGGGCUCAGUGGAAGCACUAGGAGACAUUUCCCGGUAAGAGAGUCUACUAAGGAUAAACAACUAGAUAGUCAGAUCCCACACAUAGCAGUACACGUUACACGUACGCAUAACAUGCAAGUAUGUGCUGUACAACAUGGCAUCACAGCAUAACUCAACAAUCAUAUAGAUAAAGGCUCAGAAGAGCCAUCAUAGCAUUUAUUGCAAACAGGGGUCACAAAACCCAUCAUACAGAGCAUACAAGCAACAAGCGGAAGCAUUACAUGUCUGGGUACAGACAUCUACAAAUGAAAAAGGCUGAAGAGCCUGACUAUCUACAACAUCCGAUCAAGAUCGUAGCUGAGGUACUAGCUACUAGUCGAAGUCCAUGAGACCCUAGUAAGACCGAUGUCCCCGCUGCAAAAACAUAAAUAAAGCAACAUGAGUACAAAGGUACUCAGCAAGACUUACAUCAGAUCCUAUCAUACAUGCAUCCGUAUCAAGAGGUAGUGUGGGGUUUAGUUGCAGCAAGCCAGCUUUGACUCUGUGGCUAUCCUGUUCUACGACUACCAGAAACUCUUGAGGUGAAACAACGUACAUGAGUCCACUAAUCACCAUACAAUACACUACUAUGGAUUCAUCCCCGUCUCCCUACGAGAAGGCCAUCCAUAGCACUCACACUUGUCUUGAGCAUUUUAUAGUAUCCACUUCAAGUUGUCUAUGUACCAUGUAAGCAUCCAAGAAGUCCAUAACCGCGGACCCGGCUAUUCGAAUAGAUCAUGUUAACCCUGCAGGGGUGUACUUCUUCACACACGCUCUCGCCACUUACGCCAUGUACACGUCAUGUAUCUCGGCAACCUUCAAGCGGAAGCCUGGCGAGGGUGUCGGCCACGACCUGACUAACCACACAAGACUCUAGUCCAGGUUUAUCGCCUAUUCGGGUUCCAUCCGCAAGGAGAUCCGGCCGGGGUGUCGCUUACGGACCCAAACGAUGUGUACAGGGUUCCCGAGCCCACCAACCGGGUGCCACUCGGUACACCGGGCCACGUGUGCCUAGUCUGUCCCAAGCCCACCCUGCCGGGUGCCACUUGGUAGAAAAAUAGCACUACCUACAAACACCAGAAACUAGUUGCGACUCCUGGACAGAGAUCAAGUUGGUUAAUAAGCCGAGAGAGUCAAUUAAGGAUCCCAAUGUGUGGUAGUAUCGAGUCAUUGGACAACAUACAUAGAACUCAGUGCUUAAGGACGGCUCCAGCGAGACAACCCACCAUGUACUCCUACAUGGCCUCUCACCGCUACCUUUACCAAAUCGUGAUCACACACUUCACUCUCAGCAUCAAAACAUAUCGUGACACUCCAAUUCAUUCCCAAUGAACCAGACCUGACACACUCUAAGCAAUAGCAGGCAUAGCAUUGUAGGAACACAUCAGUGGCUUCAAUCAACUCCUACACAUGCUAGUGGGUUUCAACUAUUUACUGUGGCAAUGACAGGUCAUGCAGAGGAAUGGGUUCAACUACCGCAGCACAAAGUAGCAGAUGAACCGUUGUUGUCCUAAUGCAAUAACUGAGAGCAGGAGCGAGAGAGUAGGGUUUUAUCGAAAUGAACAAGGGGGGUUUGCUUGCCUGGUAAUCAACAAGGGAGGCACUGCUUCACAGACAGGUACUCUGGAACGUCUCCGGAGCAGGACCUAUCGAGAAGGAACGGUGCCGGCAAUCAAAACACAAUCAUAUGCAACAAUAUGAUGCAUGAACAUGGCAUGUAGAUGUGAUGCUGUUUGAACUAAUGCAUCUAGUAAACAUUUGGUUUGAAGUCCAUUUGAACCAAAGGUUCAAAUGCAUUUCUAAAUUAAGUCUCUUAUAUAUGCCAUAAUGUGUUUUCCCAUAUUCAGCAUGUAUAAGUUGGUUUUUCAUGCAUGAAACUAGUACAGAUGGAAAGAUUGCAUUUUUCUGAUAAUUUUUCAUAUAUAAAUUAUUUUAAUCUGAGCUACGGUUGAAUUGUUAUGAAUUAUUGAAGUUUAAAACAAUUUUUGGAAUUUCCUGAUUUAAAUUAAAUCCAGAAAUUAUAUUAUAGCGCCAGCAUGACAUCAGCACGACGUCAGCGGUCAACUGGGCUGGUCCGGGUCAAACCUGACGUGUGGGACCCACACGUCAGUGACAGGGGGUUAACAGGGGUUAAUUUAGUUUAAUUAAAAGGUUAGGGGGCACCGGGGCCCACUGUCAGUGUCAGGGGGGGUUAGUUAACGGUGAUUAGCACUAAGCUAAUCACCUGACGGGCCGGCCCCACAUGGCAGGGCUCAGGCGAUGGGGCUCGCCGCCGGCGACCUCUGGACGCGGCGGAGUCCGCGCCACAGGCCACGGGGACGGCGUCUGAGAGCACCGGGGCGUAGCCCGGGCUCUCGCGCAUCUGGUGGGACAGGUGGGAGGAGCGGGGAAGGCCGGAGCUCGCCGGAGCAAAGCUCGCGGCGGCGGCCGGAGUUCGGGCGCGAGUGGGAUCGGGCUGCGGGGCACGGGGAGGCCACCUGAGGGGCUCGGCGGCACCCUCGUGGCACCGGGAGCACGCUAGGGUGCUUAGGUUAGGCGGAGGCGGGCCGAGACGGCGACGACGACAUGAACGGCGGCGAGAGGCUUCGGCCGUGGUGGGGAGCGGCGCUACGGCACAGGAACGGGGGGGAGAAGAGAGGGGAAACAGGAAGAAGCUCACGGCGAUCACGCAGAGCAGCACAGCGGGGUCGGGGGAGACCUGGUGACGGCGAAUCGACGGCGGCGGACGGCGGAGCCAGAGGAGGAAGACGAUGGCGAUAGCGGCGAUGGAGGCCGUCCGGAGGUGCGUGGCUCGACGAGGAGCUUCAGGGCGAGGGGGCGGAGCUCCUGCGCGUGUCGGGGAGGCGAGGGGGAGGCGGUGGCUAUGGCCACAGCGUGCGGCGGCGACGGCAGCGCUUCGGGCGGUCGGGAGAGAGAGAACCAGGGGAGGGGGGAAGGAAUGAGAGAGUAGGAGAGAGGUGCGGGGCGUCGCGUGGCGUCGUCCAGUCCAUCCAGAGCGACGAGGGGAGGACAGGCAAGCAGGGAGGGAGGAGGCGUGGCGCGGUGGCGCGCGCGCGCGCUGGGCACACUCCGUUCCUCUGUCGGGGAGGAAGACGACAGAGGAGUGGGGCCAGGUGGGCUGGGCCGCCUGCUGGCUGGGCCGGCCUGCUGCGGCUGGGCUGCACAGGGGGGGGGAGCCCCAGGUAAGCCCCUCUUUCCUUUUAUUUUGUUUUCUAAUUUUUCUGACAUUUGUUUUGAUUUAAUAAAAUACUAAAUCAAUUUAUUACCUUAUGCCAAUUUUUGCAGGAGCUAGAUAUAUUAUUCCAGAGCUCUUUUAUAAUUGGCAUAAUUUUUGGACCAUAUUCCAUAUAUAUAGAAAUAUAUUUCCAAUGCAAAUAUUUAUCGAAUUAAUCCAGAUGGCCAAAAUAAAUAUCCAUGAGCUCCUAAAAAUAUUGUUUUGAUUUUUAUCUCUGUCCAAUAUUUUCAGAGGGCAACAUGAGCAUUUUCUUGGACCCUUUUGGAGAAAUUUUUAUUUAGGUCAUUUUCAAAAAUGAUUCUGAGGGUUCCACCAAUCCUCAUUUCAAAUUUAAAUGAAAUUUAAAUAUGAUGCACAAAUGGCUAGCUAGUCUAAGUCAUACCAGACUAGGGAUGUGACACAUUCAUCUUAUAUGUACUACCCCCUCUGGUGUAGAUUGUUCUAUAUUCAGUAUGUAAAUUGUAAAUUGUUCAUUGUGUUUACUUCUUUGUUAGGUAUUGUUGAACUUCUGGGUAUUGGAUAUUGAUGCAAUAGUAGAACUCCCUUUGGUGUAGGAUUGCAGAUUAGAACUCAACUUCCUUUUUACUUGCACUUUUUGUAGUUGAUGAUGAGUUGAAUAGUUCUGGAAAAAAUGCAUGUGAUCAAGAUGGAGCUUCAGAAGUUAAUAUUGAUGCUCCAAUAUCUGAUGCGGCUAAAUCACCUUUUAUUCCUUUGACUUUGAUUGCUAAGGUUGCUUCGAGCCUUGAGAAUAAUUCAAGCCUCGAGGAACUUGCUUCUACAGCUCUUGCUUCACCUAGUAUGUGCAACUCCUUUUCUUUUAAUUUAAAUUCUUGAGCCAUGUUUUUUUAACUUGUUCCUGUCAUGUGUUUUUUUUGUUCCUGACUAUUUCUAUUUUUUUCUAUGCUUUUUGUGUUGUUUGCAGAUGUGUCCAUAGAAAGAGGAAGCUGUGAACACCAUCAACGAUAUUCUAUCUAAGAUGGGUUUAUUAGAAAACACUGCUGCUGCCGAGCAGGGGGCUUCGUCAGUUCAAGGUUGUGAUUCCAUUCUGGAUCCUUUGUGCUCUGUUCAGAUGUUAGAGACGCAGUCGCAGUCCAUUGAUGGCACUGAACCUGUCACGCAACCUAAGGAUGUACCUCUUCAACUUCUUCUGGAGGACCAAUGCAAGAGGAAGAAGCAAGAAGAUUUUGAUAAGUAGAUGGCGGCCCGCCUUCAGAAAGGUUCAGAUGUUCCUGAAUCUGUUGAUGUUCCUGAGGUCACGGUUGGGCAUUGCUCUGUUGCUGAGGUAGACGUGCCGUGUGGCAUUGAUGGCAUGGUUGUCCCCAUGAAGAAUAAAAUCAAGAAGACCGCUGCCAGGAAGAAUUUAGUUGGUGAACUUGCUCCUCGGAGGAGCCCACGUGUUUCAAGGGCUGUAGAACUUGCUGAAGAGGAAGGGCUAGCCCUUGGUGGUACGCCAUGCCGUAGUCCUCGUGUGCUUGCCACUAUGGCGCCUACACCUUCUCCGCUUGGUGCUGGUGCAUCUGGUAAGGGGAAGAAAUGCGGCGUUAAGCGCAAGCUUGCACCUCCAAAGGUCAACAAGGGUCUGAAGAAGCGUUAUCGUGUUAAUCCAGAGGACAAGGAUGAUGCUGAUUUCAAUGCUGAUGACGAGGAUGAUGAUGAUGAUGAUGAUGCCGCUAAUCAGGUAUGAAUCUCUCAUGUUUACUCCUUUUGAGAGCAUUUGUAGAUUUGUUGUAGUUUUUGUGUUUGUAGCACUGCCUUGGCGUACAUAGUUGACCUUCUGCUUCAUAUAGACGAAUAAAUUAGCUGAACUGCUUGGCUUAUAUGGUAUUACUGCCUUUGUGUACAUAGGUGAACUUCUGGAUAUAUACAUAAGAAAUUAGCUUAACUUGUUGUUGUACAUGUUUUAUUACUGCCUUGGUGUACAUGGUUGAACUUUUGCUAUGUACAUAGCUGACCUUCUGCUUCAUAUAGACGAAUAAAUUAGCUGAACUGCUAGGCUUAUAUGGUAUUACUGCCUUUGUGUACAUAGGUGAACUUCUAGAUAUAUACAUAAGUAAUUAGCUUAACUUGUUGUUGUACAUGUUUUAUUACUUCCUUGGUGUACAUGUUGAACUUCUGCUAGGUAAAUUUCUAACAUUUGAAAGCAUGUUAACUUCUGGUUAUACAUGGUUGUACUGCCUAUGUAGACAUAGUUGGACUUUUGAAAUGUACUUCGUAUGUAGGCAUUAGUGAAAUUUUGGUGUAGUUUGUGUAUCUCAUUGUUCUGCCUUUUUUCCUUGUCAUUGUAUUUUUUUCAGUAUCAUCUUGUGGAGCGGCCUGAGAGGAGGAAGAGAGCAGGCAAAGCGCCCGAAGAAGGUGACGAAGGAGGAGAUGCGGCGAAACAUUUUAACAAGACGGUUCGCUACUCACUGAAAGAGGUCAAGACGUAUGCGAAAAUGCUACAACUUAGGCACAAGACGAGGGUUAUCAAGGCUGGAUUUGGUUGUGUGUUUGACUUGACUGUUGAUUCCAACAUUUCUCGUCCUUUGAUGCGCAACAUCUACACAAGGAUUGACCCUACAACCAUGAUUCUGGAAAUGGGUGAGGCGAACAAGGUUCUGCGUAUUACAAGUGAUGCUAUUUACCAUCUUUUUGGAUUCCCUCAAGGUGAUCGUACCCCUCCUAGGCCCUCGAAUGAUGGGUUUGAUGAUGCUGUUAUGAGGCUGAAGUCCAAACUUGGCUACGCUAGGAGUGACGACAUCAAGACAAAGGAUCUGCGGAAUAUCCUCGGGAAACUUGUGAAGGAUGAGAUGAAUGAUGAUCUGGCUCUGCAGGUGUUUUACCUAAUUCUUUUCAUGAAGGUGGUUAUUCCUGGUACGUCUACACAAGUGUCUAGGGAGGCAGUAAUGGCUGAGAACCUUGUCUCUGAAGAUAUGGCAGAUAUGGACUACUGCCAGUUGUUAGUUGAUGACAUUUGAAGGGCUGUUGUUAGGUAUCAGCAAGGGACUAGCAGAGGAAAAGUUGUCACAGGUUGUGCCAUCGCGCCGCUUCUUAUGUGUUCGGACUGCCUUAUCAUUGGCAAUAAGCCUGUUGUUGACUUGAGGACCCCUCGCAUAUAUUUCAUGGAUCAGGCCAAUCUUCUUGAGCUUGUUGCGGCUGACUUGGUCAGGAAGGGUGAUGAUGACCCAGCCAACUGGGUGUUUGGGAAACUGCCUGUGAGUGUUUCUUCUUUCCUAUGUAGUCUAACUUGAACUUCUGGUACUGUCUUCUAUAUUUUUGUUUCCAUGUUCUUUCAUUUUUUUGCGACGCGUUGACUUUUGUUUUUGUAUGCAGUGAAAGACACAGGCUGAGGUUGUGUUCUUUAGGCAUAUUAAACGUCAUGUUCUUACUAUGCCGCGUGCCUCCGGCCUAGGGAGUGGAAUUUCCCCAAGAUUUGAAUUCGCCCGGGAUGUUAAUACUGGCACCCCCCCCCCCCAUAGAUCCAGGAGGUUCUUCUGCCAGUGUGAGUGCUGUGGGUGGCAUGUCUUAUGAGGGUUUGUUUGAUGCUGCCAAUCUUAUUCCCGUUAGGAUUGACGGUCUUCUUGAAACUGUUUGUGGGGAGAUGGCCCAUGUUCCGACAACUAUUGAGUGUCUUAGUCGCGUGGAUGGGAUGAAGGAAAUAUGCCCUAGAGGCAAUAAUAAAGUUAUUAUUUAUUUCCUCAUAUCAUGAUAAAUGUUUAUUAUUCAUGCUAGAAUUGUAUUAACCGGAAACAUGAUACAUGUGUGAAUACAUAGACAAACAUAGUGUCACUAGUAUGCCUCUACUUGAACUAGCUCAUCGAUCAAAGAUGGUUAUGUUUCCUAACAAUAGGCAUGUGUUGUCAUUUGAUUAAUGAGAUCACAUCAUUAGGAGAAUGAUGUGAUUGACUUGACCCAUUCCGUUAGCUUAGCACUUGAUCGUUUAGUAUGUUGCUAUUGCUUUCUUCAUGACUUAUACAAAGUUCCUGCAACUAUGAGAUUAUGCAACUCCCGUUUACCGGAGGAACACUUUAUGUGCUAUCAAACAUCACAACGUAACUGGGUGAUUAUAAAGGUGGUCUACAGGUGUCUCCAAAGGUACAUGUUGAGUUGGCAUAAUUCGAGAUUAGGUUUUGUCACUCCGAUUGUCGGAGAGGUAUCUCUGGGCCCUCUCGGUAAUACUCAUCACCUAAGCCUUGCAAGCAUUGUAACUAAUGAGUUAGUUAUGAAAUGAUGUAUUACGGAACGAGUAAAGAGACUUGCCGGUAACGAGAUUGAACUAGGUAUUGGAUACCGACGAUCGAAUCUCGGGCAAGUAACAUACCGAUGACAAAGGGAACAAUGUAUGUUGUUAUGCGGUUUGACCGAUAAAGAUCUUCGUAGAAUAUGUGGGAACCAAUAUGAACAUCCAGGUUCCGCUAUUGGUUAUUGACCAAGAAUAGUUCUAGGUCAUGUCUACAUAGUUCUCGAACCCGUAGGGUCCGCACGCUUAACGUUACGAUGACAGUUUUAUUAUGAGUUUAUAAGUUUUGAUGUACCGAAGGUUGUUCGGAGUCCCGGAUGUGAUCACCGACAUGACGAGGAGUCUCGAAAUGGUCGAGACAUAAAGAUCGAUAUAUUGGAAGCCUAUAUUUGGACAUCGGAAUCGUUCCGGGUGAAAUCAGCAUUUUACCGGAGUACCGGGAGGUUACCCGAACCCCCCGGGGGGUUAUUGGGCCUACAUGGGCCUCGAGGGAGAAGAGGGAAGGAGGCAGGAGGGGGCCGCGCGCCCCUCCCCUUCCUAGUCCGAAUAGGACAAGGGAAGGGGGGCGGCGCCCCCCCCCCCUUUCCUUCCCCUCUUCCUCCUCCUUCCCCCCUUCUCCUACUCCAACUUGGAAAGAAGGGAGUCCUACUCCCAGUAGGAGUAGGACUCCCCCCUUGGCGCGCCCUCCUUGGCCGGCCGCCUCCUUCCCCCUGGCUCCUUUAUAUACGGGGCGGGGGGCACCCCAGAGACACACAAGUUGAUCUACGGAUCGUUCCUUAGCCGUGUGCGGUGCCCCCCUCCACCAUAUUCCACCUCGGUCAUAUUGUCGCGGAGUUUAGGCGAAGCCCUGCGUCGGUAGAACAUCAUCAUCGUCACCAUGCCAUCGUGCUGACGGAACUCAUCCCAGACGCUUCGCUGGAUUGGAGCCCGGGGGACGUCAUCGAGCUGGACAUGUGCUGAACACGGAGGUGCCGUACGUUCGGUGCUUGGAUCGGUCGAUUCGUGAAGACGUACGACUACAUCAAUCGCGUUGUCAUAAACGCUUCUGCUUAAACGGUCUACGAGGGUACGUAGACAACACUCUCCCCUCUCGUUGCUAUGCCAUCACCAUGAUCUUGCGUGUGCGUAGGAAAAUUUUGAAAUUACUACGUUCCCCAACAGUGGCAUCCGAGCCUAGGUUUUAUGCGUUGAUGUUAUAUGCACGAGUAGAACACAAGUGAGUUGUGGGCGAUACAAGUCAUACUGCUUACCAGCAUGUCAUACUUUGGUUCGGCAGUAUUGUUGGAUGAAGCGGCCCGGACCGACAUUACGCGUACGCUUACGCGAGACUGGUUUUACCGCCGUGCUUUGCACACAGGUGACUAGUGGGUGUCAGUUUCUCCAACUUUAGUUGAACCGAGUGUGGCUACGCCCGGUCCUUGCGAAGGUUAAAACAGCACCAACUUGACAAACUAUCGUUGUGGUUUUGAUGCGUAGGUAAGAACGGUUCUUGCUCAGCCCGUAGCAGCCACGUAAAACUUGCAACAACAAAGUAGAGGAUGUCUAACUUGUUUUUGCAGAGCAUGUUGUGAUGUGAUAUGGCCAAGACGUGAUGCUAUAUUUUACUGUAUGAGAUGAUCAUGUUUUGUAACCGAAGUUAUCGGCAACUGGCAGGAGCCAUAUGGUUGUCACUUUAUUGUAUGAAAUGCAAACGCCCUGUAAUUGCUUUACUUUAUCACUAAGCGGUAGCGAUAGUCGUAGAAGCAAUAGAUGGCGUAAACGACAACGAUUCUACGAUGGAGAUCAAGGUGUCGCGCCGGUGACGAUGGUGAUCACGAUGGUGCUUCAGAGAUGGAGAUCACAAGCACAAGAUGAUGAUGGCCAUAUCAUAUCACUUAUAUUGAUUGCAUGUCAUGUUUAUCCUUUAUGCAUCUUAUCUUGCUUUGAUUGACGGUAGCAUUUUAAGCUGAUCUCUCACUAAAAAUUAUCAAGAAGUGUUCUCCCUGAGUAUGCACCGUUGCCAAAGUUCGUCGUGCCCAGACACCACGUGAUGAUCGGGUGUGAUAAGCUCUACGUCCAUCUACAACGGGUGCAAGCCAGUUUUGCACACGCAAAAUACUCAGGUUAAACUUGACGAGCCUAGCAUAUGCAGAUAUGGCCUCGGAACACGGAGACCGAAAGGUCGAGCGUGAAUCAUAUAGUAGAUAUGAUCAACAUAGAGAUGUUCACCAUUGAAAACUACUCCAUCUCACGUGAUGAUCGGUUAUGGUUUAGUUGAUUUGGAUCACGUGAUCACUUAGAUGACUAGAGAGAUGUCUGUCUAAGUGGGAGUUCUUAAGUAAUAUGAUUAAUUGAACUUAAAUUUAUCAUGAACUUAGUACCUGAUAGUAUUUUGCUUGUCUAUGUUUGUUGUAGAUAGAUGGCUUGUGCUGUUGUUCCAUUGAAUUUUAAUGCGUUCCUUGAGAAAGCAAAGUUGAAAGAUGAUGGUAGCAAUUACACGGACUGGGUCCGUAACUUGAGGAUUAUCCUCAUUGCUGCACAGAAGAAUUACGUCCUGGAAGCACCGCUGGGUGCCAGGCCUGCUGCAGGAGCAACACCAGAUGUUGUGAACGUCUGGCAGAGCAAAGCUGAUGACUACUCUACAGUUCAGUGUGCCAUGCUUUACGGCUUAGAACCGGGUCUUCAACGACGUUUUGAACGUCAUGGAGCAUAUGAGAUGUUCCAGGAGUUGAAGUUAAUAUUUCAAGCAAAUGCCCGGAUUGAGAGAUAUGAAGUCUCCAAUAAGUUCUACAGCUACAAGAUGGAGGAGAAUAGUUCUGCCAGUGAGCAUAUACUCAAAAUGUCUGGGUAUAAUAAUCACUUGAUUCAACUGGGAGUUAAUCUUACGGAUGAUCGUCAUUGACAGAAUUCUCCAAUCACUGCCACCAAGCUACAAGAGCUUUGUGAUGAAUUAUAAUAUGCAAGGGAUGAACGAGACAAUUCCCGAGCUCUUCGCAAUGCUAUAGGCUGCGGAGGUAGAAAUCAAGAAGGAGCAUCAAGUGUUGAUGGUCAACAAGACCACUAGUUUCAAGAAAAAGGGCAAAGGGAAGAAGAAGGGGAACUUCAAGAAGAACAGCAAGCAAGUUGCUGCUCAAGAGAAGAAACCCAAGUCUAGACCUAAGCCUGAAACUGAGUGCUUCUACUGCAAGCAGACUGGUCACUGGAAGCGGAACUGCCCCAAGUAUUUGGCGGAUAAGAAGGAUGGCAAAGUAAACAAAGGUAUAUGUGAUAUACAUGUUAUUGAUGUGUACCUAACUAGAGCUCAUAGUAGCACCUGGGUAUUUGUUACUGGUUCUGUUGCUAAUAUUUGCAACUCGAAACAGGGACUACAGAAUAAGCAAGCACUGGCCAAGGACGAGGUGACGAUGCGCGUGGGAAACGGUUCCAAAGUCGAUGUGAUCGCAGUCGGCACGCUACCUCUAUAUCUACCUUCGGGAUUAGUUUUAGACCUGAAUAAUUGUUAUUUGGUGCCAGCGUUGAGCAUGAACAUUAUAUCUGGAUCUUGUUUGAUGCGAGACGGUUAUUCAUUUAAAUCAGAGAAUAAUGGUUGUUCUAUUUAUAUGAGUAAUAUCUUUUAUGGUCAUGCACCCUUGAAGAGUGGUCUAUUUUUAUUGAAUCUCGAUAGUAGUGAUACACAUAUUCAUAAUGUUGAAGCCAAAAGAUGCAGAGUUGAUAAUGAUAGUGCAACUUAUUUGUGGCACUGCCGUUUAGGUCAUAUCGGUGUAAAGCGCAUGGAGAAACUCCAUACUGAUGGACUUUUGGAAUCACUUGAUUAUGAAUCACUUGGUACUUGCGAACCAUGCCUCAUGGGCAAGAUGACAAAAACACCGUUCUUCUAUACUAUGGAGAGAGCAACAGAUUUGUUGGAAAUCAUACAUACAGAUGUAUGUGGUCCGAUGAAUGUUAAAGCGCGUGGCGGAUAUCGUUAUUUUCUCACCUUCACAGAUGAUUUAAGCAGAUAUGGGUAUAUCUACUUAAUGAAGCACAAGUCUGAAACAUUUGAAAAGUUCAAAGAAUUUCAGAGUGAAGUGGAAAAUCAUCGUAACAAGAAAAUAAAGUUUCUACGAUCUGAUCGUGGAGGAGAAUAUUUGAGUUACGAGUUUGGUUUACAUUUGAAACAAUGCGGAAUAGUUUCGCAACUCACGCCACCUGGAACACCACAAAGAAAUGAUGUGUCCGAACGUCGUAAUCAUACUUUACUAGAUAUGGUGCGAUCUAUGAUGUCUCUUACUGAUUUACCGCUAUCGUUUUGGGGUUAUGCUUUAGAGACGGCUGCAUUCACAUUAAAUAGGGCUCCAUAUAAAUCCGUUGAGACGACGCCUUAUGAACUAUGGUUUGGCAAGAAACCAAAGUUGUCGUUUCUUAAAGUUUGGGGUUGCGAUGCUUAUGUGAAGAAACUUCAACCAGAUAAGCUCGAACCCAAAUCGGAGAAAUGUGUCUUCAUAGGAUACCCAAAAGAGACUGUUGGGUACACCUUCUAUCACAGAUCCGAAGGCAAGACAUUCGUUGCUAAGAAUGGAUCCUUUCUAGAGAAGGAGUUUCUCUCGAAAGAAGUGAGUGGGAGGAAAGUAGAACUUGAUGAGGUAACGGUACCUGCUCCCUUAUUGGAAAGUAGUUCAUCACAGAAAUCAGUUCCUGUGACAAAUACACCAAUUAGUGAGGAAGCUAAUGAUAUUGAUCAUGAAACUUCAGAUCAAGUGUCUACUGAACCUCGUAGGUCUACCAGAGUAAGAUCCGCACCAGAGUGGUAUGGUAAUCCUGUUCUAGAAGUCAUGUUACUUGACCAUGAUGAACCUACAAACUAUGAGGAAGCGAUGAUGAGCCCAGAUUCCGCAAAAUGGCUAGAGGCCAUGAAAUCUGAGAUGGGAUCCAUGUAUGAGAACAAAGUAUGGACUUUGGUUGACUUGCCCGAUGAUCGGCAAGCCAUUGAGAAUAAAUGGAUUUUUAAGAAGAAGACUGACGCUGAUGGUAAUGUAACUGUCUAUAAAGCUCGACUUGUUGCGAAAGGUUUUUGACAAGUUCAAGGGGUUGACUACGAUGAGACUUUCUCACCCGUAGCGAUGCUUAAGUCUGUCCGAAUCAUGUUAGCGAUUGCCGCAUUUUAUGAUUAUGAAAUUUGGCAGAUGGAUGUCAAAACUGCAUUCCUGAAUGGAUUUCUGGAAGAAGAGUUGUAUAUGAUGCAACCAGAAGGUUUUGUCGAUCCUAAAGGAGCUAACAAAGUGUGCAAGCUCCAACGAUCAAUCUAUGGUCUGGUGCAAGCCUCUCGGAGUUGGAAUAAACGCUUUGAUAGUGUGAUCAAAGCAUAUAGUUUUAUAUAGACUUUUGGAGAAGCCUGUAUUUACAAGAAAGUGAGUGGGAGCUCUGUAGCAUUUCUAAUAUGAUAUGUGGAUGACAUAUUGUUGAUUGGAAAUGAUAUAGAAUGUCUGGAUAGCAUAAAAGGAUACUUGAAGAAAAGUUUUUCAAUGAAAGACCUCGGUGAAGCUGCUUACAUAUUGGGCAUUAAGAUCAAUAGAGAUAGAUCAAGACGCUUGAUUGGACUUUCACAAAGCACGUACCUUGAUAAAGUGUUGAAAAGGUUCGAUAUGGAUCAGGCGAAGAAAGGGUUCUUGCAUGUAUUACAAGGUAUAAAGUUGAGUCAGACUCAAUGCCCGACCAAUGCAGAAGAUAGAGAGAAAAUGAAAGGAGUUCCCUAUGCUUCAGCCAUAGGCUCUAUCAUGUAUGCAAUGCUGUGUACCAAACCUGAUGUGUGCCUUGCUAUUAGUUUGGCAGGGAGGUACCAAAGUAAUCCAGGAGUGGGUCACUGGACAGCGGUCAAGAACAUCCUGAAAUACCUGAAAAGGACUAAGGAUAUGUUUCUCGUAUAUGGAGGUGACAAAGAGCUAGUCGUAAAUGGUUACGUCGAUGCAAGCUUUGACACUGAUCCGGACGAUUCUAAAUCGCAAACCGGAUACGUAUUUUUAUUAAACGGUGGAGCUGUAAGUUGGUGCAGUUCUAAACAAAGCGUCGUGGCGGGAUCUACAUGUGAAGCAGAGUACAUAGCGGCUUCGGAAGCAGGAAAUGAAGGAGUCUGGAUGAAGGAGUUCAUUUCCGAUCUAGGUGUUAUACCUAGUGCAUCGGGACCAAUGAAGAUCUUCUGUGACAAUACUGGUGCAAUUGCCUUGGCAAAGGAAUCCAGAUUUCACAAGAGGACCAAGCACAUCAAGAGACGCUUCAAUUCCAUUCGGGACCAAGUCCAAGUGGGAGACAUAGAUAUUUCCAAGAUACAUACGGAUCUGAAUGUUGCAGACCCGUUGACUAAGCCUCUCUCACGAGCAAAACAUGAUCAGCACCAAGACUCCAUGGGUGUUAGAAUCAUUACUAUGUAAUCUAGAUUAUUGACUCUAGUGCAGGUGGGAGACUAAAGGAAAUAUGCCCUAGAGGCAAUAAUAAAGUUAUUAUUUAUUUCCUCAUAUCAUGAUAAAUGUUUAUUAUUCAUGCUAGAAUUGUAUUAACCGAAAACAUGAUACAUGUGUGAAUACAUAGACAAACAUAGUGUCACUAGUAUGCCUCUACUUGAACUAGCUCAUUGAUCAAAGAUGGUUAUGUUUCCAAACCAUAGGCAUGUGUUGUCAUUUGAUUAAUGAGAUCACAUCAUUAGGAGAAUGAUGUGAUUGACUUGACCCAUUCCGUUAGCUUAGCACUUGAUCGUUUAGUAUGUUGCUAUUGCUUUCUUCAUGACUUAUACAAAAUUCCUGCAACUAUGAGAUUAUGCAACUCCCGUUUACCGAAGGAACACUUUGUGUGCUAUCAAAUUUCACAACGUAACUGGGUGAUUAUAAAGGUGCUCUACAGGUGUCUCCAAAGGUACAUGUUGAGUUGGCAUAAUUCGAGAUUAGGUUUUGUCACUCCGAUUGUCGGAGAGGUAUCUCUGGGCCCUCUCGGUAAUACUCAUCACCUAAGCCUUGCAAGCAUUGUAACUAAUGAGUUAGUUAUGAAAUGAUGUAUUACGGAACGAGUAAAGAGACUUGCCGGUAACGAGAUUGAACUAGGUAUUGGAUACCGACGAUCGAAUCUCGGGCAAGUAACAUACCGAUGACAAAGGGAACAACGUAUGUUGUUAUGCGGUUUGACCGAUAGAGAUCUUCGUAGAAUAUGUGGGAACCAAUAUGAACAUCUAGGUUCCGCUAUUGGUUAUUGACCAAGAAUAGUUCUAGGUCAUGUCUACAUAGUUCUCGAACCCGUAGGGUCCGCACGGUUAACAUUACGAUGCAGUUUUAUUAUGAGUUUAUAAGGUUUGAUGUACCGAAGGUUGUUCGGAGUCCUAGAUGUGAUCACGGACAUGACGAGGAGUCUCGAAAUGGUCGAGACAUAAAGAUCGAUAUAUUGGAAGCCUAUAUUUGGACAUCGGAAUCGUUCCGGGNNNNNNNNNNNNNNNNNNNNNNNNNNNNNNNNNNNNNNNNNNNNNNNNNNNNNNNNNNNNNNNNNNNNNNNNNNNNNNNNNNNNNNNNNNNNNNNNNNNNNNNNNNNNNNNNNNNNNNNNNNNNNNNNNNNNNNNNNNNNNNNNNNNNNNNNNNNNNNNNNNNNNNNNNNNNNNNNNNNNNNNNNNNNNNNNNNNNNNNNNNNNNNNNNNNNNNNNNNNNNNNNNNNNNNNNNNNNNNNNNNNNNNNNNNNNNNNNNNNNNNNNNNNNNNNNNNNNNNNNNNNNNNNNNNNNNNNNNNNNNNNNNNNNNNNNNNNNNNNNNNNNNNNNNNNNNNNNNNNNNNNNNNNNNNNNNNNNNNNNNNNNNNNNNNNNNNNNNNNNNNNNNNNNNNUCUUCUACUCCAACUUGGAAAGAAGGGAGUCCUACUCCCGGUGGGAGUAGGACUCCCCCCUUGGCGUGCCCUCCUUGGCCGGCCGCCUCCUUCCCCCUGGCUCCUUUAUAUACGGGGGCGAGGGGCACCCCAGAGACACACAAGUUGAUCUACGGAUCAUUCCUUAGCCGUGUGCGGUGCCCCCCUCCACCAUAUUCCACCUCGGUCAUAUCAUCGCGGAGUUUAGGUGAAGCCCUGCGCCGGUAGAACAUCAUCAUCGUCACCAUGCUGUCAUGCUGACGGAACUCAUCCCCGACGCUUCGCUGGAUUGGAGCCCGGGGGACGUCAUCGAGCUGGACGUGUGCUGAACACGGAGGUGAUGUACGUUCGGUGCUUGGAUCGGUCGAUUCGUGAAGAUGUACGACUACAUCAACUGCAUUGUCAUAAACGCUUCCGCUUAAAUGGUCUACGAGGGUACGUAGACAACACUCUCCCCUCUCGUUUCUAUGCCAUCACCAUGAUCUUGCGUGUGCGUAGGAAAAUUUUGAAAUUACUACGUUCCCCAACAUGGGAUUCUUCCUCCCGGCCACGGUUUUGAUUCUGAGUCUUCGAAGGAGGUUUUGUCAAUUGAAGCUAGAUUUCUUACUGAGCUUCGUCAGAGCGCUUCCCACCUCCGAACUAGCUUUGGGCUAUUCAAGGAAAUGCAGGAUGUUCGUUGCAAGCCUUUUGAAGAUGAGGCAAGUGUUGUUGUGAGUCAGAUUCAGAGGCAAGAUCCUGUUCGUUUGGGUCGUGAAGGAGGCCACGUGGAGCAUACCGAAGAGGUUUGUUUAUGUUGGCUUUUUGAUAUUUCUGUGUGUUAAUGUUCAUUGUUAGCUUUCAGUUAUUACUGUUUGUAGUCAUAGGUGACCCUUAUUGAUUUCAUGUGUCAUAAACUUUUUCUUUUUAGUGCUAGUGUUUCCUAGGUGACCUCUCUAUUUACAGUACCUGAACUUUAGGGGCUACAGCACCUGAACUUCUGUCAUUUCCAUAACUGGCCCUUUUUGUUCCCUUUUGUAUUAGAGUAAUUUGCUAUCUGACCUUAUAUGUUUACUAUAUUUGGACUUCCACUAUGUGUCAUUUUGUCAUAGCUGACCUUCUUUUAUUAUGUAAUGUGAACUUUUGUUGAUUAGGCAUUUGUUUUCUACAUGAUUUUUUUAGGCUGUUGAUGAUGGUGCUAGGGUUGAGGAGGAUGUUUUACCUAAAAGCACAACUGCUCCUGUGCAUGAACCUGUUCCCGCGAGUGAUGUAUUAGUUGAUGAGGUUCAUGGCAGUGAAAAUAAAGUACCAUUUUUCUUGUCCAUUUGUCUCAUUUUUUUAUUUUACUUGUUUUGCAUUUUAUCACUAUGUGCCCAUUUGUAAUGAAUUUCUGUUCUUUGCUACAGAAUGAUGAUUCUAGUGUUCCUCUAGAGAAGGUUGCAGACAAGAUCAUGUCAGGCACCGGCUGCUCCGAGGGGGUGGAGCCAACUGAACCUCAGUCGUCCAUUGGCACUGUGGUUUUUGAUGCUGAGCAGGGCAAGACAGCUGGAGAUAUCAUUUAGGAGAAAGAUCCCGUCGAGGUUGCUGUUGAGACUGGUGGUAGCGCUGCUGCAGGCCUGGAGAAGUCUCCUGCAGCAGAGCCAUCAGUUGUUGUUGAUGUUGGUUCUCUAGCUCUUCCUAGUCCAGCACAACCAACAAUUUUUUUUGUUUCAGAUUCUCUGGCUGCUCCAACUGCUACUGGUGUCCUUGUCGACGAUGUUGCAAUGUCUACUGGAGAUGACGAUGAAGAGACUGAAAGCAAUAGCAUGGGAGACGAGGUUGAUCAUUCCAGUGCUGCGACUGGAAUAGGCAAGAAUCCAUAAAGAGAGGAGUAUGUUUCUCUCUUCUUUCCCCAUCCCAGUCCCUUUUGUUUUUGGUUUUGGUCCAUGAUAUCCCUGUGAACUGCUUGUGUGGUCCAAGUUGAACUUCUGGUUUGUGCUUUGUCGGUUGGUUUGUAAAUAAAGUUAAGUGAACCUGUUUCUAUGUGGGGGAAGGUCUGUAAUGCAUGGGUUGUGAUGUUUAUAAUCUUGUUGUUUACCUUUUCUGGUGUAGCACCUAAGAUGUGCUUGUGUUUGAAUGUUGUGCUCGAAUGUUGCUCUUAAUUUCUAUUUCUUUUGCUGAGCAGAUAGUGAACUUGCUGUCGUCCGAAAGAAGGUUGAUGACUUUUAUUUCAGUGUUACGAGGCUUAAGAAUGAUCGUUCUAAGAGGUGAGUGCAGCUGGUCAAAAUUACAUCCAUCUACCAUUAUGAAUUGCCUGUUGUUUCAUACCUGGACUUCUUUACUCUAUGUUGCUGAACUUCUAUUUUCUUCUAUGAUGCUGAAAUUUUGUCUUUUUGUACUGCCUGUUGUGAUCUAGCUGAACUUCUGUGCUUAUAUGUGUGAUGAACUUUUUGAGUUCCUGAUGCUGAACUUCUUUUACUUUCUAUUGCUUGUUUUAGAUAAAAGAUUAUGUUCAAAACAAUGAGUGUGAAGCUACUGUUGAAGAUGUUGCAAUAUCUUUUUCUGCUCGCGGAAUGCUUCGAUCUAAUGUAGUUGAGAUUGCACUGUAUUGUCUACGUGCGAAAUACCAGGGAUCAGAUAAACUCAUUCUGCCAUAUUGGGUUUGUGUAAGUCAACCCUAUAGUGAUUUCUUUUUUGUUUUGUUCCUUACUAUUUUAGUUAAAACUUGUUUCUCUCAUUUGUAUUUUCAUUUGUUGUUGUUGUCUGCAUUAUUUUAGGACAAGAUUUUCAGAGGUCAAUUUGAUUCCCGUGUGAGGAAGUACUUCUUGGCGACUGGUCCAAAUAGCAUGGAUGCACACGAUUUUGUAAGCAAUAUCUUGUUCUUUGUCUUUUGUAUUAGUUUGCACUGCGAUCCACUCUGUUUAUUUUGUUUUAUUUUUGUUUGUACUGUUUGAUAUUAUUUUUUAGUUUUUAAUGAUUCGUGUGUUUCUGUUGCUUCAGGUUGUUUUCCCCACUUUUGACCCACCAGAAAUGCCUUCUCGCUUGGGUGGUGUUGGUCAUUGGGUUUCGAUAUUUCUUGACCUGAAGAAUUCAAGGUUCCGGCUUCUUGACUCCUACUAUGGACCAAAAAUUGAAUGUGCGGUACGCCUGUUUCGGCGGAUGACUGAUAACAUCAAGAAGCUUUGGAAUGAUGCUAGCAACGAAAGGGAGAAACCCUUCAGUCCUCUUUCUGUUGACAAUUUCCCUUUGGAUUGGAGUGAUGUGCCCCAACAGCAAAACAAGUAUGUGUUUCAGUUUUCUCUCCAUCACUUCUGCUUUAACUGUAGGUGUACCUAAGCUGCAACGUCUUUUAUUCUUUUGGCUUUCUUUUGUUUUAACACCGUUAUUUUUUGUUUGUUGAUAGUAUCGACUGUGGAUCUUCAUCCUUACGAAUGUUAAUUCGUUUCAUCAAGGGGUUCUUGCAAACUAUUCCCAUAAUAAUAUCAUGGAUAUCUAAAAGACGUGGUUGUACUCAAUUGCUUCUUCUAACCUGUUUGAAACAGACUUCCAAGGUCUGUUUGGCUACUAUACAUGUAAGCCUUGACACUUGGACUGCUUGCCUGUACUUCAUCUUUUAUUGUACAUGAACUUCACUUUUAUCUUUUUUAUUUUGCUUGUUUAUUUUGUUUCAGUAUUUUUUUCCUUUCAUUGCUUACUUGGAUAGGAGCAUUUCUUAUACUUGAACUUGAGAUAUGAUACCUUUUUAUGCUUUUGUUAGCUGUAGCUGAAUGUUUUCCAAUUCAUUAGUUUAUGUUGAACUGUGCCUUGGGUUGUGCCUGAACUUCAUUUAGUUUUUAAAUGCAAUAGAUUUUUUUAGGUCAGCUUUAGUAGUAGCCAUGUCAUCUAUAUUAGUUGGAUUGUACAUUGUGUUGUACCUGAACUUCAAUUAUAUUUAAUGGUCCUUUUGUCUUCCUUUUCUUUGACAGUGGAGCCGUUGGACUUGACCGAUUACCACUACUCAUUCCUUGGGUCACAGGAAUACCAUCCUAGGGAGGAAUUGAUGAGUACAACUCCGAGAGAAGAUGAUAGCACUCGAACCCUUAUUCCUUCCAAGUUGGGGAAGCAGGUUGUCGGUAUUUGUGGUGCUCCAAACACCCCUUGCUCCAGGAAGGUUGGUGCAGUCCAAGCAGUUGAAGUAGAGGUGAUUUCGUCAGAUGAUGAUUUUCAGAAGAUUGCUUACCCAAAGAAUGGUAAAUCUGCUGCUGGGAGAGGUUGGAAGAAUGUUGUCAUCACCAGGAGGAAACCGGCAGUUGAGUCUAGCAACAUAACUUCCUCCAAGAGAGCAUCGAGAUUGCCUUUGAAGUGGUGUUCCGUUGUCGCUCCCCUAAAUAAGUACAUUUACCCUCAUCUAUUCGAGGCCCAGAGUGUGAAACAGUAUGUGCUUAGUGAUGAUGGUGUGGAGAAGCAUUCUGAGUGAGUUUUCUUCUUCUUAUUUUUGCUGCUGCCAGAGAUGCUACUUUGUUGUGAACUUAUGUUCAUUUAUCCUUGCCUUUGGAGUUACAGUUUCUGAACUUCUGUUGUAUUAGUAUCUGAACUUUUGUUAAUUUCUCCUUGCCUUUGGAGUUAUAGUUUCUGAACUUCUGUUGUAUUAGUAUCUGAACUCCUGUUCAUUUCUCCUUGCCUUUGGAGUUAUAGUUUCUGAACUUCUGUUGUAUUAGUAUCUGAACUUCUAAUAUUUUUCCCACCCUUUUAAACUGCAGGAGAAGCUACUGCAUGCUUACCAUCCUUGGGAAUGUGAUUGACCUCACAUGACGUGUCCUUUAUACUCUUUUCGGUGAAGGGCAGUAGAUGGAAGGAGAUGUAAUGGAUUAUGUCAUAAACUUGUGGAAGGAUAAGCUGGAGACCUUUGAUAUCUUCUCUUCUGCUGACAGGGUUGUACUUAGUCCCUACUUCAUAUAGGUUUUAGUUCUUUGCACCCCUGUCUCCCUUUUUUGCUCUAGUUUUGGUGUAGUGGCAUUUGGGAGGUUGUCUUCAUUCUGUUUUUGUGAAUGCACAGUACUGCCUGGAGUAUGAUUUUUUCGUUGCAACAGUUCCAAAGUUUGAUGCAAAAAAAUCGGCUAAACUCCUCCCAAUGUUUGUUCGCAAGGAAGAAGACCUUCUUAACGCAAAGCUGGUUAGGUUUUCAUAACUCUUUGCUUUUUUUAAUUUUUUGUACAUCCUUUUGCUGAGUUUGUCAAGAAGUUUUUGUUCAUCCCGGUUGUUCAAUACCUAUGCUUUAUAGUUUGUGUUCACCUUUUCUUUCAUUCUUGGCAGGUUUUUUUGAUACUAUUCAAGCCAAUUAACAUAGUAGCGCACUACAGUGUGUAUGUGCUGAAUAGAUAUCGUGGGAGCAUUGACAUCCUUGAUUCACUUCCUUACAGUAAUAAGGGAAUGUCAUGAACAACUUUCCACAGAGACUGCCAAAAUAUCGUGAGUGUUUCUUAGCCUAAACCUCCUUUCAUAUUUUCUUGUUUGACAUGAAGUUUAUUAUGCCUUCCGUUGACAAAAUAUCUUUCUAUCUCUGCUUUGGUAAUAUUGCUUGAACUGACUAUCAUUUGACAGUUGAACUUCAGGUAUUUGUUUAGCUGGAUCUUAUGCAAGUGUCGCUUUUAUGUACCAGAACUUAACUAUUUUGGUUAGCAUGUUUUUUUAUUUCACCUUAUUUAUCAUUUUUGGCAGAUCAAGAGAUUUGUUGGGUUGCUCGAGGAGGUGUACGGCAAGGCUGCGUACAAAGCGAUCAAGUAGCCUAACUGGGUGAAUAUUGCAAAGAGGCCGACCUUUAUCGAUGUUCCAAAGCAAGUGAAUAAUGAUUGUGGUUUCUUUGCCGUGAAGUUCCGCUCUACAUAUGAUGGCGAUGAGCUUGUUGAUGAUUUUGGUGAUGUGAAGGUAUGUUUUGUCUCCUCAUCCUUUCAUUUUGUUGUGUGUUUUUGCUGCGACACUCCUGCUGUGAUUUUAGUUAUCCUUUACUGAACAUUCAUUUCAUUUCUUAGUUGCAGGCUGUUGCAGAUGAAUGGAAGGCCGAGUUCAUGCACACUCUAAUCUUUAGUGACAAGAAUGAAGUCUUGCGUACAGAGCUUCCUGCCGAGAUCCGGUCCUUGGGCCUGUGAAUUCCAAGCAUUAGUUUCACUGUAGAUUUGAUUUUGUAGAGAUUUAGGUUUGAUAAUGAUUGGAACGAUUUCGUAAAGAUUUGAUUGUAAGAAUGGUUUGGUAAUUUGUGUGUCUAUAGCUGCAGCACUAUUAUUUUAAGAUAGUGAGGACAAAUGUAUUUGGUAAUGGAAUGAUUUGGCUUGUGAAUGUACUACAUCGUUUUUAGUAUCAAUGUGUUGUAUGUUUUUUUCCAGAGUAUGUUCUUGAACUUCUCUGUGGGCUAUGGUUGAACUGCUGUAUUUUUUGUGUUGUUUAAUUUUUGUGCCCCAACAUAUGAUCUUUUACUUGAACUGAUGCUUGAGAUCUCGAUGGGCUGCUGGUUUCAGAUGGGAGAGGAUUUUCUGUGUUUUGUAAUGUAUUGUUAUUUUUCAAUUCAACCAAUAUGUAGCCUUUUGCAGAAAAUCUAUAUGUGCUUUUUUGUGAUUUUUCAACUGCAAAUGGUUUUCAACUAUAACUUCAUGCAAAAAUAUUGUCAUACACUCCUUUACGUUUCUUUAUCUUUUUGUCGGGAUUCAACAUGAACUUCUGCACGUAUCCAAACAGAAACUUCACAUCUGAACGCGUUGUCUUAGGCUUGCUAACCUUAGUUCAUACGACAAUACUUUUUUUGUAAGCAUAUUUUUUCCUACAUCGAUUUAUAUACCAGAACUACUUUUGUAAGCUGACCUGAACUCCAGACUGUAUAAUUAUUCCUGAUUGCUCUACUAUGGAUUACAACACUAGCACAUCCUGUUAUAAUAUACCAGAACUUCCAUUGUAAGCUUACUUGAACUUCAUAGUGUAUAUUUUUUCAUUUGUAUUCUUGCUUGCACAUUUAUGGAAUACAUCACUAGCAUAGCACUUCCUCUCAUAAUAUACCAGGAUUUCUGUAGAAGUAUUACUUUAACUUCAUAGUGUAUAUUUUUUUCAUUUGUAUUCUUGCUUGCACAUUUAUGGAAUACAUCACCAGCACAGCACUUCCUCUCAUAAUAUACCAGGACUUCUGUAGAAAUAUCACUUGAACUUUACAAUGUAUUUUUUUCAUUUUAUUACUGCUUGCUCUUUCAUGCAAUACAUCACCAGCACCUCAUGUCAUACUAUACCAGGACUUCUGGAGUAAGCUUACUUGAACUUCUACUGUAUAACUUCUUUGAAAGUUUAACAAUAGAAGUUCAAGUAAGCUUCUUCUCCUAAAAUACUAUUUCAAAAGUGGAAUAACAUUCUACACAUUGACAUGACAUAAGUUUGUGUUGUUUAAUUGACCUAGUCUAACUGUUCAUCAGCCUUGCACUCCUCCUAGGCUUUGGUUGUAGUGGUUUUUGCUUGACAUGUACCUCUUCCUUUUCCUCUUAAUCUUCCUCUUCCUCUUCCUCUUCAUCAUCCUCUUCCUGUUCAUCAUCCUCUUCUUCUUCCUCCUCGUAUUCCACUUCCUCUUCCUCUUCAUCUUCCUCUUCUUCGACGGUGUCUUCAUCUUCGUCUUCCUCUUCAUCUUCUACCACUUUCUUGUUGCUGCCUCUAGGUUUUUCUUACUGUUUCUUCUCCGGCUUUUUUGCUUGUCUUUUCAGCAUCAGCGUGCUUUGGGCAUGUUCUUGCAUUAUGUGGUUCAUACUCCUUGCAUAUGCUACAAAGUUUGCUGCUUGCUUUCUAUGGGUGUGGUCCCUUGUUUUGUUCUAUUACUUUGGGCUGCUGUUUUUGAACUUUGGGUUGCUUGACCUCCUCUGCAUCGUUUCUUUCUAAGAGUGUUGGAUAGGUGAGCUUGUUGUGUCCUGCAACCUUUUUGCACACACUACAUUGCAUGUGUCCAAGUGGCACUCCGUUCCCAUCGAGCACGAUGACUCUUCCUGCAGGAGGUGCCUUUAUUUGAGCUCUCUUGUCACUUUUCUUUGCUGUAGAAAUUUUCUUCCUACCCUUUGUUUCAGAGUACAAUGGCAGUUUCAUCGUCUCUUGUUGCCGCUGCUGCAUUAAUUGGUCAACACCCUGCUUGCACUGGUUGGCUUGAGAAGCGGCCUGGAGCAUUUCAGUUGCAUAAUAAUGAAGGCAUCUUCAAUUUCAGCAUCCUCUUCAGCCAUCCUUUGGUCAGCAUCCGCUCAAUUUGCUGAAUGUAUUGCAUCAAGCUCUUCCACUAGCCUCUUGUGAACAUAGAAGGCUAUGUCAUAUUGUUGGUCACAUCUCAUCGCUUUCUUGUUGACCAUCAAAUUUUUAGCUGCAGCAAGAUGUCUUGCUUCGAUAGUUUUGAGCUGCCAUCUGAUGCAGUCGUGUUGUACUCCCUUGUAUUAAAUGUUGGUUGUGAUUUUGCAGUCUUUGUGUACUGUUUGAGGAUAUACCUGUCUGGAAAUUUGUCAGGCUUCAAGUAGUCCAGUAUGUUCAUGAUGUGAAGGCGGAACAGGCCUGCAGUUUUGUGAUGAAUGUUGAAUACAUAGUUUGUGAGCCAGCAAUGAGUUUCAUAUAUUUGAUAUGAUACUACUAGUUUAGGUAUUUAAUGAGUUUGUUUUUCCACUCACCUGUGUGGGUCCAUAGCUUGCAUUCACACUCGUAUAUUUCAUUAUCUAGGUCAGCUACAACCUGGAAUUCAUGCUUUGACCAGGCAAAUCUUUCUUCAUCAUCAUGGCCAGCCUUGUUGUGAUAGUACACAAGGUACUUAGUGGGCUCUGUUGUAGGCUUUGCACGAAAUAGUGUGGCUUUUCUCAUCCUAGUCUUCAUCUCGGUGUACACGGCUCUCAUGUACUUGAUAGCCAUGUCUUCCUCAUAGCCGUAAGUUUUUUUUGUCACAGGAUUGGUCUGCACACAUGUCAAAAAAUAAGAUAUUAGUCGAAGCAGAGUCAUGGGUUUCAUUUUUUAAAUACAGUGUGCACAUGUUGAAGGAAGUCACAAUAUGAUGGGGGUGUUUUUCUUGUCUUAAUACCAUGUUGGUCAUUGUUUGCUCGUUCUCCUUCUGCAUCCGAGUUUGUAUGCACGCAUUUACCCGCCUAGCAAACUUGUGUACGUUUUGGGUCCCCUUGACAAACCCUCUCUUGAGCAUGUGAUUCAUGCUCUCGCUUCAUUGUGUGCAAGUCAUUCUAGCACAGAAAAUGUUCUUGUAAUAUGCUGAAAUCCACAUCUUCCUAUCAUUCCACAGCUGCAUCAUCAUCUAGUCGUUCUGCAGGUUGAAAUUCUGCACGAGUGUAGCCCAAGCAGUUUCAAACUCUGUAGGCAUUAGCGGCCAGUUUAAGAUCGCUGUGAACUCCUCUUUGAAUGUUUUAUGCUUUUUGUACAACAACGCGAGGUAUUCCUGGAACUUCUUUAGGAUGUUCCAUCGGCAUAGCUUGUGGACUGUGUUUGGGAAUGAUUGUGGUAUAGCUUUCGCCAUCGACGGGCACUGGUCUGCAUGAAUUAAAAAAAUGAAACUUGCUUCUUUUUACUGAUGGUGAACUUAUGUUGUACAAGUACUUGAACUUCACAGGUAGCAGUAGGACUAACUAAUUUUUUCUUACACCAGUGUUGUUGAACUUCUGUGAUACCAGUGCUUGAACUUCACAGGUAGCAGUAGGACUAACUAAUAAUGUCACAUAUAUUUUUUCUUACAGCGGUGUUGUUGAACUUUUGUGGUACCAGUGCUUGAACUUCACAUACAUAACUAUAUUUUCCCUGAACAUGUUUCAUAUGUUUUUUGUUACAGCAGUGUCCUUGAACUUCUAUGGUUCCUCUAUUUGAACUUCACAUCCAGAACUAUAUUUUUUCUAAACAUGUGACAUAUAAUUUUGCUUCUUAUACUGUUUUGUUGGACUUCUGUGCUAACAUUGGUUGAACUGCUUGCUCUACAUUAUUUUCAAAAAAACCAGUGUACCCAGAUACAAACCCAUGGACUGAAAAAUUGAUGAAACUUGUAGAGUUUUUUUUUGAACUUACCUGUUAGAAUGCAAGUUGGGUGUUUGUUGUUCAUGCACCGUACAAAUGUAUCAAACAACCACUUGAAUGACUUUGCAUCUUCGUCUCUAAUCAUGGCAAUAGCAAAUAUGAUUGACUGCAAGUGAUGGUUUGUUCCAACAAACACUCCCAGAGGCAUAUGAAAUAUGUUAGUCUUGUAAGUUGUGUCGAAUGUUACGCAAUCGCCAAAGUCUUGAUAUGCUCCUCGACAACUUGCAUUGGACCAGAAAAUGUUUUUAACUGUUUUGUCGCGGUCUACUUGUAUGUCAUAGAAAAACUCAUCAUUGAUUGACUUCAUGUCUUUAAAGAAAGAUACAAGUUUCAAUACAUCAUCCAAAUCAUCUUUCCUUGCAUUCAUUGCUUUCCUGCAAGUUAUAUGCACACAUGCAUUUGUUAUCUUUGCUAGCAAAGGGUUGUGAUUUAGGAUGCUAUGUACAUUGCAGUAUGUGUAUUUUUGAAUACUUACUGGUUUAGUAGGUCUCGUCCGGUCAUGCUUAGGAAGUAGCUUCCAUCUUCAUUUUCAGAUAGCAUGGACAUGAUUGUUGUAUGCUUGACAUCAUGGUACUGCAGGAGCUUUACGUACUCCAGAAUAGUGGGGUCAUAAUUCUUGUGUGAGUGCAAGAAUACCAACAUGUCAUUAGAUUGCAUGAGGUGGUGAUUAUGAUUGUACUAAAUGUCCACUACCACACAUGUGUCAUCCUCCUGCACCUGCACCCUCAUUCUUGCAUUGCAGCCUGUCCUCUGUGAUGUUUUGUUUCGUUUCCUGCCAGCCUCUGAAACAGAAGUUGUGUGUUUCCCUUGGAACGCGCAAACAAAAUACUUGUGAUUGUCAUUCCCUCUCAUCUUCCUGAUUCCAAAACCUGCAUGUCUGGCGUAUCUAUUAUAAAAUUACCUUGCUUUCUCUACAUUCUGGAAUCGCAUAUUUAGUCUUGGUAUUAUAUAAUCUGGGAGAUCUGGCAUCUGUAGAAAAAGAAAAUAAUAAUCCAAACGGCAUGUUAAAAUGUAGUUUAUGAACUUGUUAUCCUGGAGGGCAUAGAAAAUUUGCAGAUAAUGCAUAUAUAAAUACCUAAAAAAAAUUCACUUACGUGCGUGUAUGAUCGCAACUCCACCGGAGUCUGCUGCUGGCCCUCUGGGAUGGGGCAUGCCGGAGUUAUCAUAGCAGGAUGCAGGAGUGGAUCACAAGGAGGAAGGAGGGCUGAAGAUGGCCUCUCUCUUGUUUGCGUCCUUUUUGCUUGAGGUGGUUGUGGAGGCAUUGUGAUCCUGGUUUUUAUUUGCUCUCUUGUUUUGUGAAGCAAUCCAUCUACCUUAUGUCCCGUACAAUUCUGAGUUGUAGCAGCAGCAGCAUCAUCCAACGAUGGUAGUGUGCAGAGCACUCUCCUCCGUGUGUGUUCCUGUUGGAUUUGUCAUGGGAUCCGGUUUAGUUGCUUCCCUUUGGCAUUGACGAGGCACACCAUGAUAACCUCCAGAGUUACACACAGGACUUGAGCUAACCCCCUCCUCCAUCGGCGUCCUUGGGAGUCUGCUGGUGGAUAUAAAGAAUCCGCGUGGGAUUUCCGGCGUCACCCAAUUAGGUGGAGGCGCAAAGUUGUCUCCAUGCAUUUCGGGUGUCAUCCAAUUUUGUUGUGGAGCAGGUUGGUAAUGUUGUUGGUGUGUUUGAGGUGUGACCCAUUGAGGGGGUGGUGCAAUGCGUACAGGCUUAGGAUUGUGUACUUGCUGUUGGGAACUUCUAAGCUUCUUCAUGUGUCUCUCGUCUUGCUGACAUAAAAGAAAAAAAUGUUUAUUAGCACACAAGUUACAUAUGCCUAUACCUUUGUAACUGAACUGAGCAUUAUUCACAGCCUGAACUUCUCAUAUAAAAGUGGUAUUCAUGUACAUAUUUUUUUCCUAGGAUAGGCAUCACACUUUGCACUGAGCUGAGCAUCUGCCAAUACUUUUGUACCUGAACUGAGCACACUUCACAGAAUGAAACUCAUAUUUUUGUUAAUUCUACACUAUUACUUAUAUGUACCGGAACUGAGCACUCUCGACACCCUGAACUUCUUGUUUGCAAAGGGGAAAUAUUUUCUAUAGUUAAAAAAAGCCUAAACCUUCAUGAGUUUGGAUGGUUGAACCACUAGUGCAUACCAACCUGACCUUCAUGUGAUCACAUGUAUGUUUUUUCCUUUUUUUUUGCACACAACCAGUUACAUACCAACCUGAACUCUAGCACACUUACUAGUUGAACUUCACAAGGCUUUUCACAUGUGAAUGCAGGAAGAUUUUCUACUGUCUGUAGCCUGGACUGAGGCUCACUUACUAAUUGAACUAUACAUGGCUUUUCACAUGUGAAUGCAGGCAGAUUUUCUACUGUUUGUAGCCUGUACUGAGGCUAACACACUACCAGAACUUCACAUGGCUUUUCACACUACCAGAAGUUCACAUGGUUGUAAGAAAAUAACAGACAGAAGGAAGUUCAACCAUACCCUGGCUAGAAGUUCGGCAACCUUUUUCCAGCAGUAGAUAGGCCACCUUGAGAGCAAUUCGUCGGGGAGCUAGGAGAGGAAUUCCAUGGCAAUCCUUGUCUUGCAGAGGGUGCGAAGUUCAUCUACAUGAAGAAAGAAGGUCAGGCAAGGCAAGAUUGAAGGAGAAGGCAAGAAGAGUGAUGAAGUUCAUCUAUCGUUGGUAGAUUUGAAGGCGUCGCCGAUGCGGCCUCCGCCGCCGAGAUGCUUCCUUGGCCGUGUCAUUCGCCGUAGCUUGCCUCGGGGCCGUCAUCUGCUCUGCUAAUCCGUUGGGCGAUGAAGAUGGACCGAGGAGGAGGCUUCUUGAAGUCCACGGCGGUCGUUCAUCACAGAAAUCCAUCGGCUUCGCCGGCUCCAGGCGAGGCAGGCUCCCUCGCGCCGGCGUUCGCCCUCGCUCGCUCGCCCGCGCCGGCUGUCGGAGAGGAGGUGGCGACAGAGGGGUGGCGCCGGAUCUAGUCGGCGAGAAGCUGAAGACAGAGGGGAGGCACCGAAUACAGCCGGCAAGGAGCUGGAGACGGCGGCGAACCAUUGGGGGAGGACGGGGAUCGAGGGUAGGAGCCGCGAGGAGGGGGCUGGGGCGGCUCGGAUCGGGAUUGGGGGAGGAUCAGGUGGGUCCUAUCGGGGCGGCCUCGGGAUACCGUGGAUCGGGCCGGCCGGCAGUUCAGAAGUUCAAGAGGGCCCUGUCGGGCCCAUAAAGGGGCUGCUAUGAUCCAAAUAACUAUUCUAAUCCCGAGAUUAGAAUAGGGUUGUCCUAUAUAUAUAAACACUAUUUAGCUAUCCUAUAUAAACAUUAUUCUCAUCACGGGAUCAGAAUAAUAUUCUGAUCACAACCUGAACUUCCUAAGUUACCCAACCUGACCUUCCCCGAGUACUAGGUUGAACAUCAGCUAAAAAGUGUUCAGAUGGGCUUGAGAUAUACCAUUGGAAAGCUAUGGAGACAAGUAUCAUGACCCAAGUUGAAUUUUUGGCAAAAUGUAAGCGGUUUAAGAGCAGUUUUGAAAACCAUUUUUUCUUCAUACAAAAAACGUGAAUCAUAUUGCAUUUCUAAACCGUUUAUCGGAAUGAGGCAAAUAAUAUAGCGUUGGAAAGCUGCUGCAAAACCGCUCCUUCUAUAUGUUUAUAGUUUUUCUCUAAUUCCAUAUGGUUACAAAGUAAUUUGGAAAAUCGUAAAAUUUUGCAAACCGAACGGCUGAGUUUGUAUUUUCGAUACCAUUUCUAAACGGCUAAUCCAAUUGAGGCAAAUGACAUGGAGUUGGAAAGCUUAUGAAAAUGCGCUACUUUUUCAUCUUGAAAGUUUUUUCUAAUUUUUAACGGUUUAAAAGUAAUUUAGAAAACGAUAUAAGUUCCACUGAAUUUGUAUUUUCGAGCUAAUUUUUGAACUGUACGUCCGAAUGCAGUAAAUGAAAUGGCGUUGGAAAACUUGAGGAAAUGCGGAACUUUUUUGUAUCUAUUGUUUCUUCUAAUUUCUUUCGGUUUUAAGUCAAUUUUGAAAAUAACUAAAAACAUUUUUUAGCCGUAAUUUCUACAAACUUUAUCGGAAUGAGGCACAUAAUAUAACGUUGAAAAGCUACAGAAAAUGCAAAAAAAAAAUCAUGUUGAUGGUUUUCUCUGAUUCCUAGCCGUUUUCAAGUAAUUUUGAAAACAGCGAGAUCGUGCGUUCUGCCUUUGUCGCGAAACAAAUUCUCCGAAAAUGCACCGCGUGAAGAACUUGAACUUCUCGGCAUGUCUACCUGAACUUCACUCUGUUUUACACGUGCUUUUUUCUCGUAGCUCUUCAUCCACUCACCGAAAUUGAGCAAGUGAUAUCCGGAUGGAAAGCUGCUGUAAACACUUGAUUUUUCCGUGUUCAUCAUUUUUUCAUACUCGCGACGGUUUAAAAAGUUUUCAUCUGAAAUUCAUAUAGUGCAGUAGUUGAACUUCCUGCUGUUUUCACGUUGAACUUUUGUGACGUAUUUUCGUUUGUAAUUUUCUCAUCCAUUCAUCAGUGUUACAUAAAUGAUAUUCAUUUUAUACAAACCUCUCUCACAAUAAUUUUUUUAACUUUCUCCUACCGAAGACUUGAACUUAUAACAACAAAACUUUUAGUCUUUACUUUUUUAUUCUUUUUUUCAUACAAAAUGCACACCGUGUAGUACAUGAACUUUUUCUAUUUUUAUAAUUUGAAUUUUGUUUUUCUUUUUGAAAUCAAAUUGCUCCCAAAUAAUAACUGAACUUCUUUGCGGAUUGGGAGAAUUAUUUUAAAACGCAAAAAACAAUUUCAUUUUUGUGUUUUUGAACAUGGAAAUACAAAGUACCUCACUCGCAAGAAUUUUUGAAAUUUCCCGGACAGAGCACUUGAACUUCUUUCAACAAACCUUUCAAGCUUUUAUUUUUCUAUACUUUUAUUCCCACCUGAAAUAUAUUCCUUACAGUACUUGAACUUCUCGUUCUUUUCAAUAUGAACUUCUGUCGCAUUUUUGUGUAUACGUCAAAUUGGAGGUCGGACGUCUUUUUGCUGUUUUAAAACAUGUAACUAGAGGUCAGACGCCCCACAAUACAAAUUAUGAACCGUGCACGAAGGUGCACGUGAACUUUUUGCAACAAAUCGGAGUUUUUUUAUAUACUUCGAGCUUCUCUAUUAUUUUAAUUUCAACUUCUUAGUCAUAUUCUUAGACAGGAAAUAUGUUUUUAAAUAAGCAUCAAAUAUUUUUUUUGUAAAUUGAACUUCAUAGUUUUAUUUUUCUUAGAAACGGUAAUAAUUUGAGUUUCCCGUAUACAUCGAACUACUCAUGUUUUUAAAUUUGAACUUCGUCAUUUUUAUUCUUUACUAACACGGAAAAUCUGAGUUUUUAUAAAUAUCGAACUUCUCUAUUUUUGUAAUUUGGACUUCUCAGUUUAUUUAUUUUAGUAACAGAAAUAUCCUAGUUUUGUAUUAAAUAUGAACUUCUAGAGUUUUUUAAUUAUAGGAACGUUGAAAGUGUUUUCCUGAUUUUUGAACUUCUCUAUUUUUCAAAAUUCGAACUUCAUGUUUUUUGUUUUAUUUUUUAGAAACGGUGAAAUAACUGUUGAGCUUUUUCAGAACAUAUACCGAAGAUAUUUGGACUUUGAUUUUUUGUAUGUAUGAACUUCUGAUUUAUUCAAAAAAUAAAGGAGAAGACAUACCCAUAGCACAAGCACACCGAACGCGCGCACACACACAAGCACCACACGCACGCACACACGACGAUCUUAUAAAAGAAAUGGGUGGCGACACACUAUGGACUAAAUUGGUUCCAUUUAUCUCAAAAUGAGGUUCAGUAGCGUUUUUCCUUCCCUGAUGGUAGUAGCAGGACUUCACACAUUUCACCAAACAUGCUACUCCCUCCGUCCCAUAAUAUAAGAGCGUUUUUGACACUACACUAGUGUCAAAAACGCUCUAAUUAUAUGGGACGGAGGGAGUAGUUAUUAGGGGAAAAUCCCACACGUGUGCAGGGAGAAAUGUGUGUGUGGUGCUACCAGUGUGCUUGCCAUGUGUACACAGACUAGAAAUUGAGCAGCAAUGACUAGAAAUUGAGCAGCAAUGACGUAACAUCCGUAGUUAGUCCAGAACGUUCAAAUAAAACAUGUUAAUACAGAACGUCCACAAAAAACUGAAGUUUUUGUUGAUGUCAACCACGUAAAUAUGUGGCUGCUGACAACUAAGCAAUGUAACGCAUGCAGGUUGGGAAGAUGGUCCAAAUCAUGAUGUAACUAGCUCACGCAGUGGCUCCUUGGCGUCUUCACUCUCUGUCCUCGUCAACAUUUCUGAAUCACCGCAUGUGUUAUGACCAUAUGUUACAAGGUGGGAUCACAUUCACAAUCGACCUUCUGCCAUUUCUUUUAUGUGAACUUCGACCCAAGAACACACGAUAAACUUCGACCUUGCUGAAACAAACUGCUUUGAACACACGACGUAGUCACCCACAUUGUCUGAACAUUUUGCCGGCGGCAAUGUCAUUGAACUUGGCGUAGACCUGUAGUAGAACUUCGAGGUAUUGCACACACUCGCACUAAGAUUUUUUUACUGACGUAGACCCAUGGUAGAACUUCUUCGUACUGGACACACUUGCAAUGAGACAUUUUCCAUUCAGGCUCAGGAGGUGGUAGCCAUAUGCCUUCCAAUGCUUGAUUAGCACUGGAGCAGUAGCAGUACUAAUUUACCUUUCCCCAGGCCACUCUGCAAGACAAGGGCAUGAGUCAAAUCAUGUUGCUUCUGCCACAAGGCUACUGCCUCACGGUCUCCCCUCGUGGCCGCGUGAAUCCUGCAUCCGCUGUCUGGUUGGGUUUGACAGAGUUGCACACCAAGAACCUGCACUUCAAUCUACUUUAGGUAUCUGCAAAACGUAGUUACUCACCGAGACUGUAAAAUAAAAUACCACUUACACAGAACAGGGUCAGUAAGACAUCCUCCAGAAAAACAAAAUUUCAGCCAACCUAACUGGUCAAUAAGAUCCUACUUAAAAUCAUCAAACACAGUAUCAUUCAUCAGAGUGAAAAGAUUCUUCAUUGGUGAUACUGUAUAUGGUAAGGGUAUAUGUGGCAGACCAGAAGUACAGACUUCUGAAGAACACACAUGGACGCCAUUUUUAUUCAGAAUGGUACAGACAGUAAAACCAAGGGCAAGUCGUUCGAUGGUAGCAAAGUUACAUCUUUCACACAUACAGAUCCAACAAAAUCUAUCUCUGCUGCAAUUUCGGCAAGCUAAUACGGGUUCUUUGUCAGGUAAAAGAAAGGGGGUCCUUUGUGUCACACUUCAAUAUUUUGUGGAGGAACUUGAACAAACAGUUUAUGAAUAUCAUGUAGUGGCUUCUGCAUCAAGUGUAGCUCUGACUCCAUCCAGGAAUGUAAUCGGCUGGAUACCAAGCGUCUGAGUUAGCUUGGUGAUAUCCAUGGAUAUGUCUGACAGUGAAGCUACACCCCGGUUAACCUGGAUAAUAAUAGAUGGAUCGGGCCAUUAGCCACUGAUAAAGGGUCAUAUGACUACACGAUACUUGAAAUGAACUCAUUUUAGGGAGACAGGCUGGAAACGUAAGACAUAAAGGAAGAACAAAGAAGCUAGCUGAAUUGCAGAAUUAACCCCGACUGUAACAUUUGUACGUGCACCUGAAAGUAUAAAACCACCAACCAAUAGUUUGUAUUAUGAGGUUUCUAGUUAGGCGUAAACAUAUGAAGUGUGCACCAUGCUUUAACAUUUUCUUCAUCCUACACCAUCGCUCCCUUCUCAGGCAUAAACACAAACACUACUUAGACACAGAAACGUGUACCAGUUUUUUGGUGCAAAUAUUUGAAGAGAAAGAUAGCAACAGAGACCUAGGCAAGAGACAAAACAAUCCUCAGUUCAAAGUUUUGACAAAGUCCCAUUUGAUGUAAGAAACCAAGCAACGACAAAAUUGUAUUGGUAAACGUUGUUCAUCUGACACAAGACUUAUUUCACUUUUUUAUUCCUCCUCUUCUCAUGAAGAAUACAUAAGAGAAAGCACAUGCGUACCAGGAACUGGAAAAUUAGGUGCUCCAUCUCUCAGUUGAUGACGAUUUUUGUGGUUGCCGUAUGCUCUAACCGUCCCAGAAAAGGUCAAGGCGGCCCUCGCGAGAACUUCAGCUAAUAGGGGAGAGCGUCCCUUGCAAAAAAAUAGGGUACAACGGAGGCAGGAUGGACGAGGUUGGGGAAAGUCAAGCGCGCGGGGUCUCAGAAGUGAUGCAGCCACGUCGGGAAGUUCAGGGAAGUUGCUCCCGGUGGAGCCCUGUGGAGGCAGGGUCGUAGAAGGGACAGCACAACGCGGCCGGCCGAUCGGGUCUCCCUUACCGUCUGGUGGCGUGGACGCGUGGAGAUGCUGGAGCUAGGCAGUGGCUUGGGAGGCGGCGGCGCCUCAUCAUAUCGGGCGGCAGCGACGCAUGACAAUGGCGGCGGUGGAUGGUGCGCCCGGAAGCAGGGGGCCACGGCGGUGGCAGAUAGGGGCGGCGGGGAACCUGGGAUCCAUGGCGGAGGAUGGAUGUGGAGGUCCGCGGCGGCGCGCGGGGCUCCACGGCCUGGCGGCGGCGUUCGGGGAUCCACAGCCCGGCGGCGCAAGGGGAUCUAGGGACGGCGGCGACCAGCAGAUGGCAAUGGGCGUGGGUGUGGGCGGCGGCUCCGGUGGCCGGCAGCACACGAUGGUGGUCGGCGGAUCAGGAACCGGCAGCGCUGUGGGCAAGGUGGGGAUCGGGAGGGGAUGGGCCGGUGGGGAUCGUGGGGGUGUGUUUGAGAUCGACUUUUUUUCCUUCUUCUUUUUCCUUCACUGUAUCGGUUUGGGAGUUCGGGAGGAUCUCAUCGGUCUGUGAUCCAAAUAACUAUUCUGAUCCUGAAUUUGAAUGUUUCUUGUGUCUGUUUUGAUGAACCGACUUUUUUAACAUCAACUUUAUUAAUUAGAAAUAAUGGUUACAUCCUCGAUAAGAAGAGGUACAAUAUUUUUCAUCGGCUCCUCAAUCCAAUCCCUAGCCACGGAACAUUUAGCUAUUCUAGCAAGCCCAUGAGCUACUUUGUUCGCUUCUCUAUUACAAUGUUCAAAAAUAAUACGAGGAAAAUCACAAGCCAUAGAAAACAAUCCUAAAAAUUACAGCAGCCGCUCCUGCAGAAUGUCCUCCGUUCUUUAUUGUGCCAAUGACUUCCAUGUUGUCAGAAUUGACAAUCAGACUAUUGCAACCCGCCUUUUGUGUCAACAAUAAGCCAAACCUAAGUGCUAAUGCCUCUGCUGUUAUAACAUCUGCACAACACUCAAUCUUCCAGUUUCCACCUACAAUGAACUUUCCUUUGUCAUCCCUGAUAACCUCAUCCAUAGUGCCCCUUAGUUGAUCAUGGUCAAAAGAAGCGUCCACAUUCAAUUUAACAAACCCCAUGGAAGGUCUGCUCCAUCCUUCUUUCUUUCUCUCUGCCUUUGGUGAGUGGGCAUUCACAUAAUCUGUUGUUAUAGCCUGAAUCCUAAACGAGGUUUGUGACGCCUCUUGCGACUUGCCCUCGUGAACUAGCUUUCGUCUAAUCCACCACAAGUACCACACGGCGAUCAGCUCCCGUGCAUUCUGGGGCCCAAGAUAGGAAGUUCUUGAUCAGACGCAAGGAGUAGUACUUCAAGGACUGCCUCUCCUGCACGAUCCACCACAGAAGCUUUUUUAACCACUUCAUACGGCCCCAAAUUCUCUCACCCUUCUUUUGCCUUUUGGGACAGAAAAGGCAUGUGUUUAGUAUCCUCUGGUCCGUUUGGACAUACUGGGCAAAUUGGCGAAGUUUUUAUGUGUCUAUUGACCAGCAUAACACGACACGGUACAAUCCCAUGAAGUCGUACGCCCCUGGUCACCGUCCUUGGUUGAUGAAACGACCUUGGUCAAACUAACGAUCCACGGUCGAGCUCACCGUCUCGAUCCGCAGCUCCCUGCCCCUGGUCAUAGGCCAUGGUAGCAAGGAUGUGGCGUGCAAUCCAGGUGAAAUCCGUUGCUAAUUUGCAUCAGCAAUUAACGGCAGACUCAAACAAAACCUUUGAACAACAAACCAGCCGUCCAAUCAAACAAGCAGCUGAAUCCAUAGCAAGAUUAGAGAGAGNNNNNNNNNNNNNNNNNNNNNNNNNNNNNNNNNNNNNNNNNNNNNNNNNNNNNNNNNNNNNNNNNNNNNNNNNNNNNNNNNNNNNNNNNNNNNNNNNNNNNNNNNNNNNNNNNNNNNNNNNNNNNNNNNNNNNNNNNNNNNNNNNNNNNNNNNNNNNNNNNNNNNNNNNNNNNNNNNNNNNNNNNNNNNNNNNNNNNNNNNNNNNNNNNNNNNNNNNNNNNNNNNNNNNNNNNNNNNNNNNNNNNNNNNNNNNNNNNNNNNNNNNNNNNNNNNNNNNNNNNNNNNNNNNNNNNNNNNNNNNNNNNNNNNNNNNNNNNAGAGAGAGAGAGAGAGAGAGAGUCUCAUGAACACAUUUCCAAACGUGAAAAAUCAAUUAUCAAUCUCUUCACUCACACAUACAUCAUUUCUCCCAUUCAUUUCUUUACACCACUCUGACUCUGCACACGCACGCACACCACACCACGGCUCCAGGCACAAGGCAGGAGACACACGCACAGUCAACUACUGACUGGAGCAACCCGAUCUGAGUCACGAGCCCAUGUAAGCAGAGAUGGAGGGAGAGAAGGAAACACCAAAGAAGAAGAAGCCAAGUUCCAAGACAAACAGCCAAGAAUGAGACUUGCCUACCACCCAAGCAAAUCCAUGGAGUCAUCCUCUCUCUCGCCUCCGCCGCGCCAUCACCUGCUGCGCCGGGCUCCCCCUUGCACUACAGCCUGCCCCAGCACCGCCGCCUCUGUCGACGACCACAGCCAGCUUCACCGCCAUUGACCUGCUCUGCUCCUGAGGGCUGAGAUGUGGCGGAGGGAAGAAGAAGAGGAAGCAGAGAGGCGAAGAAAUAGAGGGGGGCGGAGGGAGGUUUGGACAGUGCUAUCAAGCCCUUUUUCUACGGCCUCACCAGUGACGGCCGCAUCCACUUCUCAUUGGCAGAAAAGUGAUCGGUCGAGGUGGCCACGGACUAAACUAAUGCCGAUGGUUAGCGCAUGGACAGGGCUCUCUUGGAAUCUACACGCACUAAACUA